rnacentral:lncRNA from 1 species
UGUAAUGUUCAGUUAACACUUUGGUCCAACAAUUGCUACAUGUCGUAGUACUGUUCUCAAGCAUUCUUUGUUUUGUUAACUGUCUUAUCUUCUAGUACAUGUUUCUAUUCUACAUUGUCGUGCUCAGUUAACUAUUUUGGUUCAUUUGGUAUGUUGUCCAUUUAACUAUUUGGUUCAGUUUUGCAAUUUGAUUUUCAUUUGCUGUGGGUACAAUUUUGUAUUGUUAUGCAUGCGACACCAACCGAAUUUGGCUGUACUCAAUACAUAUUCUACUGUUAGUAUGGCAACUCUCAGUUAACCUGAUCAAGAUCUUCCUUAUGUGUGUUGCAGGGAAACAAUGGGAGACACUGCGGUUUACCAUCGAGGUUUGUUCAAGCAGGGUCGUUUGGCUAAUAGCACAUUAUUGUGAAGUUGCAGGAAUCAUUCUAAUAUUUAGGUUUCUUACAAUUUGGUCUUGCACAUGUUGGUCCUGCAGUCAGAGGCUUAGACCCACUGUUCGACCCAUUUUGCAUAUGGGGAAAUGAGAUGUCCAUGAAUAUCAGUCAAGUCAAGAAACUUAGAAAGAUUGUUAGGAUGAAGAAACUUGCGACGAAUAACAGCAAGAUCUUUGUGUGCACAAUGAAGAAGACAUUAGUCAACUAUAGGAUGGUACCAACUCUUUUCCCUUGUUUUUACCCCAUUUCAAAAUUUACAAUAGUGAUUUAUGCAUAGCUUUGUUUUCAAUACUUUUCAAAGCAGUUCACCGAUGAUUACCUCUCAAACCACCUGCAUGGUCAAGAGGCGAGGAAGGUAUUCAUUCAACACCCAUAGUACAAUAUUGAAGUCUUGCUGAAGAGGAUGAAGGUUGGGCGGGCAAUUCUCCAUAGCCACUAGUCUAAUGUUGCAAGGACAUUCAACAUCACUGAAAGCUCAAUAUUUGUCUUCCGCUUCUGCAGUUUCCCAGAUGAGAUUCAUCUGUCUAUUUACCGUGUAUGAUGCUACUUUCCAAAGGUUUUUGAUGCUGCAUGUGAAACUUGGUGCAGUUGUGUAAUGGUGUAACUGAGUGCCGAAGCUAUCUGAUGUAAUUCGGUUAUGAAAUCCUGGUUGCUUUUAUAUGGAUAUGAAAUAUGUGGAGUGUUUUAUAAGAAAUAUCAGUUUGAUUAGUACAUGGAUUAUCAAUAAUAGGCUAAUUACCCUGCUUAUUGGGGUUUCCUAUUGCAAACGAUUAACCAGAGAGCACCGUGGGCGAUGAACUCAAACAACCCACACAGUUUCUAGAAAUUAGGCGUGUUCGAUCAACUAACAAUCACACACGGCUUCCGGCAGCGAACUGUUUGCAUUAGGCCACCUUGCACAAACGUUUCCACACAAAAACUAUGUGGGAUGUACAUAUCUACGGAAAUGAUUUUCUGGGAUUCACCGUGUGGGAUUUACAUACCUACAGUAAUGAUUUCUGGGAUUCACCGUGUGGGAUGUACAUACCUACAGAAAUAAUUUAUGGGAUUCACCUUGUGGGGUGUACAUACCUACGAAAAUAUUUCUGGGAUUCACCGUGUGGGGUGUACAUACCUACGGAAAUGAUUUCUGGGAUUCAUCAUGUGGGAUGUACAUACCUACGGAAAUGAUUGAGUUUCGAUGCCUCGCCCGCUCGCACACUGCCCCAGCCUAGGUCCUAGGAGGGCCUAUCCCCGACGAUUUCUGGGUCGUGUGGGAAGGACACCAUAUCGCACACACUCACUUGGCAACGGUUCCAAAUGACCUUGCGGAAAGGGGUUUUAAACCGUUUGUUUAGGACGUCACUGUACCAGUGGAGAUUAUGCGUCAAGUACAGGAGCUGCUCGAUAACGGUUAUAUACGUGAAUCUCUUAGUCCUUGUGUUGUUCCUAUUAUACUAGUGCCAAAAAAAGGGUGGUACGUCACAUAUGUGUGUUGACUGUAGAGGCAUUAAUAAUAUUACUAUUCGUUAUCGUAAUCCUAUUCCUAGGCUCGAUGAUAUGCUUGAUGAAUUGAGUGGCUCUACAAUAUUCUCCAAAGUUGAUUUGCAUAGUGGAUACCAUCAAAUUCGCAUGAAAUUGGGAGAUGAAUGGAAAACAACAUUUAAAACUAAGUUUGGUUUAUAUGAGUGGUUAGUCAUGCCUUUUGGGUUAACUAAUGCACCUAGUACUUUCAUGAGAUUAAUGAACGAAGUUUUACGUGCUUUCAUUGGACGAUUUGUGUUAGUCUAUUUUGAUGAUAUACUGAUUUAUAGCAAAUCUUUGGAAGAACAUUUGGAACAUUUACGUGUUGUUUGUAUUUCUCUAUGUGUUGCAUGUUUGUUUGCUAACCUUGGGAAGUGCACCUUUUGCACCGAACGAGUAUCUUUUCUUGGCUAUGUUGUUACUCCAUAGGGAAUUGAAGUUGAUAAAGCCAAGAUUGAAGCUAUUGAGAGUUGCCCGCGGUCCAAAACGGUCACACAAGUGAGGCAUUUUGUAAGAGAUUUUAGCACCAUGUUGCACCUCUCAAUGUGCUUACAAAGAAGGAUGUUCCUUUUGUUUGGGGUACCGCACAUGAAGAAGCCUUCACGAUAUUGAAAGAUAAGUUGACACAUGCUCCUCUACUCAAAAUUCUUGAUUUUAAUAAGAGUUUUGAGCUUGAAUGUGAUGCUCGUGGAAUUGGAUUAGGAGAUGUGUUAUUACAAGAUGGCAAACCUGUUGCAUACUUUUCUAAAAAAUUGAGUGGGCCUAGUUUGAAUUACUCUACUUAUGAUAAGGACUUAUAUCCUAUUUUUGGAAUUUAAAAACAUGGCAACAUUAUUUAUGGCCCAAAGAAUUUGUUAUUCAUUCUGAUGAUGAAUCUUUGAAACAUAUUAAAAGUCAAGCAAAAUUGAACCAUAGACAUGCUAAAUGGGUUGAAUUCAUUAAGAUUUUCCCUUAUGUCAUUAAACACAAGAAGGGUAAAGAAAUGGUUAUUCCUGAUGCAUUGUCUCGUCAUUAUACUAUGCUUUCACAACUUGACUUUAGAAUAUUUGGUUUGGAUACCAUCAAAGAUCUAUAUGUGCAUGAUCCUAAAUUUAAAGAUGUAUUGCAAAAUUGUAAAGAAGGGAGAACAUGGAACACGUUCAUCGUUAAUGAUGGAUUUGUGUUCCGUGCUAACAAGCUAUGCAUUCCAGCUAGCUCUAUUUGUCUUUUGUUGUUGCAGGACGCACAUGGAGGAGGAUUGAUGGGACACUUUGUCAUGAAGAAGACAGAGGAUGUACUUGCUACACAUUUCUUUUGGCCAAAGAUGAGACGGGAUGUUGAGCGCUUUGUUGCUCGCUGCACUACUUGUCAAAAAGCUAAGUCACAACUCAAUCCUCAUGGUUUACUAGUAGACUCCGCGUGCGUGCCACGGGCUAACAAAUGAAUUGGUUUUACUACCACGAACAAGCACAUUGCACGCAAUGUUCAACUACAACACAAACGCAAGUAUCUUCCUCUUUAUUCCAACAAACAUCAUGCACCCCUCUAGCAUCUCUUCUCCGUUGAACUUGUCAUACAUCACCUUCUUUGUCCAUACAUCAAUCUAUUGCCCCUUGACUCUGCAUGGGGCUUCCGUGUCAUUGUUUUGUUGUCUCACUCUACUACAUGCGCAACAUGGAACAACAUCAACAAAUCAUCAGAUAUAAUGCAGACCUUAGAACAAAAAAUAAGGAAAGGGCGCAUAUGGACAUGGAAACAUUCUUUCCACCACAUGUUCAUUCCCAAACUAACUAUGAAUAAUUCUCUAUUUGUCUCAGGGUUAUCCUUCCAUCUCCACCUAAGAUGAGCCUCCAUCACUUUACCUCACUAAGACUUAUUUUCCUAUCAUCCUCAUAUAUACAUACUACCAUCACACGACAAGGUUGGAUCAUUGUCAUUCCACCUCUUCUUCCAUGAGCCCUGCCACUUAAAUCUUUUGCUCAUUGCGACACCAGUCUCACACGACAAGGUUGGAUCAUUGUCAUCCCACCUCUUCUUCCAUGAGCCUUGCUACUUAAAUCUUUUGGUCAUUGCGACACCAGUCUGCUCCGCCAUCUCCCUGCUCCAAAUAUGCCUAUGAACUUGUAAAAAAUACUCAUUUUACUCCCACGAACAAGCAUAUUGAAUGUAAUGUUCAAGCACAACACAAACACAAGUAUCUUCCUCUCUAUUCCAACAAACGGCAUGCACCCCUCUAGCCUCUCUUCUCCAUUGAACUUGUCGCCAAUCGCCUUCUUUAUCCAUACAUAAAUCAUCCUCUCAAUCUAUUGCCUCUUGACUCUGCACAUGGCUUCUAUGUUGGUGUUUUGUUGUCUCACUCUACUACAGACGCAACAUGGAACACCAUCAACAAAUGAUGAGAUAUAAUAAACCUCACCUUAGUACAAAUAAUAAGAAAAGGGGGAAUAUGUACAUGGAAACAUUCUUUCCACCAUAUGUUCAUUCACAAACUGACAAAAAAUAAUGCUCUAUUUGUCUCCAGGUCAUCCUUCCAUCUCCACCUAAGAUGUGUCUCCAUCACUUUACCUCUAUAAGUCUUCUUUUCCUAUGGACCCCAAAUAAACAUACAAUAAUCACACGACAAGGUUGCAUCACUGUCAUUCCAUCUCUUCUUCUACAAGCCCUUCCACUUAAACUCGUUUGGUCAUUGCAACACCAAUCUGCUCCAAAAGUGGGAUCAUGUGUCACCUGCUCGCAUGCUCCUCAGCUUCAGUAAUUGAAUAGAUAUGUGAUAUUGAUAAAACUACUCUACAACACCAUGGAUGCUACAACUACAGAAUAUAUUUUCCAAACAUAAAUCUCAAACAAAAGUAACACAUAGUCGGUAUUUCAAGACAUAGAGCAGAGAGGCUAAUCAAUAAAAGUAUUUGUCGUUGCUUGAUGUAACAAGUUGUGCAAGAAAAGUGGACAAAAUAUAGCAUCACAAUAUAUUCUCUUGCAAGGGAAACGUUGAAUUUGUGCUAUGAACCUUGCCAAUGUUCAGCACGGUACUAGCAAAGAAGCUAGAGCAGAAAAAUGAGAGCAAAUUACUUGCAUGAAGGAGCGAGUCGGGGAGAAGCCAAAUGAGAUUUCACCCCAUAAUGGAAAGGGGCCAAUCUCCUCGCCCCACAAGGUGUAGGCUAUCUACUUACACAUGUAGGAGAAAUACAUCUACAACAUCCAUUAUAUGCGGAAGUCAACAGAAGCUAAGUCACUAUCCUGUAAAUCUGACACCCUAUGAAAUGCACAAUAAGUAAAAUUAAGCCUAAUUUUGUUACAUUUUUAUCAAGCUCUAAGUGUGCAUAAACAGUAGCUAGAAAUCGCUUAAAAACAGGACCUAUUAAGUCUAGAGAGUCAAGUAACACUGCUAAAGAGUCAUGUUUAGAACCAAAGAAUGGCAGAUGUGUUCAGAAACACUAAUUAAAUUAAACCAUCCUAGAGCAUAGGUCAAGCGCAAGUGCCCUUCUAUUAUUAUCAAAAUUCAAAACAAACAGAACCUACCACCGUAUAGUUUCAAACCAUGCCCUGGGUUCAACCAAUGCACACUCAGGUAGUAACAACCCAAACCAUGGCGUAAUCAGAAGUAACUACCAAGCUACACCAGAGUUAAUCCUGCCGAUUCAUAGCUCAAUAGUACAAGAAAUCAUAGCACAAAACAGGGCCAGAUGGCCACCACAAAGUAAUCCCUCAUCGGCAUGAUCGUAGUAUUAUGAUUAGAGAGCAGGAAUAAAAGGUUUUCAUGAUAAUGUAAUAUAAUUCAGAUCCACAAUAUGGAAUCCACAAACAUAUCAAAAAUUAAUAAAUGAAUUUUUUUAUCAACACCAUGUUUUUCUUUAUUACACCUCAUCUGCAUUUUAUGGUUAUGUCAAUCUACAAUUCACACAUAUAAGAGCAAACAUAAUGGCUUGGUGGUAUGUAUGCUGCUAUCAAAACAUAAACAUCACAUGGCUUGCAACAAAUGCAUGCAGAUGGUGCACGCUGGUGGUCUGAGUUAUUUAUUUAGGAGAAGAAUAGUGACUUGUACAUUGAGGUGCUACUAAGGAGAUCAGCUAUAGUUAAAGGAGCCAAGUUCAUUUUUCAACACAAUGUACCAUCCUUGAAAAUGAGACUUCUGAUUUAUCAAUAGUGCACUUUAGAAUGCUUAGUCAACAAGGAUCACUCUACAUACACUGAAUACCUUUGCAUAGCUCUGUCAACCAGAUUACAAAGCAUCACCAGUCUAGGUCCUCAGCAUCAAUCUCUUCAUCACUGGCAUCUUUCUCAAUGAGGUUAUAGACAUCACGAACCUGAAAGUCCAACACAUGACACACAUGACCUAACUCUUCGAUACACCUGUUUGGUUGUACCAUAAAAUCGACAAUUUCUGCAACCUGAAAUUUUUUCGUGUAUGAUCAAAAUCUAGAAGUGCUAUAAUAUGUCUUCAUAGAAAAAUCAAAACCUAAAUGACAUGUUGAACAAGAAACAUAUGCUGAAACCAUAGAACUGGAUCGAAAAGCUAAUAGAUCAAGGGAAAUAUAAGGGCGGUGGAGGCACUAAUUACUUUAUGGGGUCAGAGAAAGCAUCUCGUGGGGGUGUCGAUUACCAGGAGUUGUCAGCACGCUUCCAGGUGCAUGAAAAAGAAAACUAGUCAAGUGCAUACCAUCUACUUGUCGCAUUGCCUCUAUAAUAUAGUCAUGCAAGGUUUGGAUCCCCACCAUCUCUGAAUCUGAUCCAUCAACAAAUUAUCUAAGAAGUUAAGUGUUAAAACCUGUUGGCUGAAAAACAGAUAAUAUAGAAGACAAAAAUAAUCAGGUUAUUUUGUCACUUCAAUUGAGAUAAAUAUAUACACAUUUCAAAUAAAGCUUAUUUGCGACUCUAGAAAUAAAAGGCUGGAAUUAUUGCUGGCACUAAUUGCUUUAACGCAUACUGUCUGUACAGUGUUAAUGCUUAAGUAGCACUGGUUGUCAUCUCGAAUAUAUUUUAUGAUACACAUAUUUGUGCUUACAGAUGAGAAUAACAAAACAAUACAUUGUAGAGAAUGUUCCUGUUUCUUGCAAGUUAGGAAGUGAAGAAAAUAGGAGUAACCAAUCUUCUAAAUCUGAGCACCCAUCUAUGCCUGCAUCGAUCCUUGGCCCGCCCAAUCGACUCUGCAAAACAAAGCCUAUAGUACAACGCAUACCUCCAGCCACGAGUUCAUCACAAAAAUCGGCGGUCCAACACUUGCUUACACCAUCGACACCAUCCCACCGUCACCGCAACCCUGUCACCACCCCGCCGCGAAUAUAGCCCCUUUACCUACCACUGCUGCAUCACCUCUCACACAAACAGAGGCGGCCGAACGCAUGCAGGCUUUGACCACUCCCACGCCAUGCCUCUCCGUCUGCGCGCGCGACCCCGUGGCACCAGAACCUUUGACCUUGCCUCCUGCUCUACUAACCGACGACACCCUCAUGAACCGGGUCCAUACGCCGCCCACCACUGAAUCGACGGACCCACCACCAAUUCACGAACAUCACAAGACUGCCCAUGCUCAACUUGCCUGCAUGCCUCAUGCCCACGUACAUAGCCUGCCUUCCCCCCAAAACACGGAUGCACCAUCCGCGCCACUCCCAUACCCUGUCUGCUUUCGGCUCCCUCACACAACACUAGACAAAUCUACCAUGGACCCUGCUUUGACUGUCAGAACCACGUCACUGCACGUUGGGACACCCACAAACAAGUUGUACAGGGGCGCCCUGCUCUCUCCCUCUAUCCUCGCACCCCCUCUGCCUAUAAAUACUGCAUGCAUGGGACUCCACCUCCCACCAUCCAUUCCCUCUUCUCCACUUCUCGUCUCUCGACGACGCUGCUACCGCUGCCUAGCCCUGGACCAUCAGGUCCAACACUGCUGCAACCCUGUGAGGUGUGCAAGGUGCUGGUGCUCCAGCCACAAAGCUCGACGUUGCAAGGCUGUUCGCCUACUCCAGCUCUUUCCACCAUUGCCAAGAAACCCCACGUCUAGCCCAGCCUUCGCACCCUUCCCUUCACCAGACCCAGCUACCUCCAUGGCCAACUCGUUCCUGCAUCCUUCCGCUACCAUCGCCGACCCUGCUUUCCCUUGGCCUCGCCACGGCUCGGGUCCUGACGCCCCGCUCAUUGGCAUCCCAGUCGCUCGCUCCAUCCCACCCUCCACCACACCGCACCACCUUCCGGCGCCAUCCCGACCACUUCCAUCACUACCCACCCAGCCCGACCUGGACGAUCUGCGUGCCCGCCUCAACGAGGCGCGUGCCGCUGCCGCCUUCGCCCCGUCACCCCAUCCUGCACGCGCGCCUACACGCAUGGGGUCCGGGCCGGCAGCCGCCUCGGUCCCCCUCAUCGUCGCGCCUUCUUGCCUUGUCCACGAUGUGGGUCACAUCGCAUUCGCGCACCUCUGCACGCCCGUCCACAACCCGGCGUCUCUCAUCUAUGAUGCCAUCCUUGCUCACGCCGGCAGCCCAAGCUUCAGCAUCGCCGGCUCAUGGCGUGGCGCCGGCUGCGUCACCUUCGAGUCGGCAUGCGUUCGAGACUACCUCGUCAGCCUGGAUUCUCUUGAGUUUCGUGGCAAUGCGAUCUCACUGGAGCCUGUUGAGCUGGCGGACCGCGCCUCCCCGGUCUUCGAUCAGCUCAUCAAGGUGCACGUCGCCGAAUUCCCCCACGAGCUCUGCCAUGUCGCUGGCAUCAGGUGGGCUCUCAGCCGCCUUGGUGAUGUCUGCUCCAUCGACCACUACUGCCUUGAGGGCCGGGACUACACGGCUGUCCGCGCCCUCAUCAUGAUCGACCGCCGCCAGCAACUGACCGACUCCCUCGCGAUCCAGCUGCCUCCGACCAACGAUAUCAAGAUAGUCAAGAUCACCAGGCUCGCCACGGUCCUCGACCGCAUGGGCCCCCUCGACCCAUCACCGUUCUCUUCGGACUCCGACUCCGAUUCGGACGGCUACCCCCACGCCCGCCGCACUCCGCGCGCGCACGCUCGCGGCGGCCUCGCGGACCAUGAGUUGCCUCGCGGCCCCCCGCCGUCUCCUCGCUCCAACAUGGCGCCAUCACAGGCUAAUCUGGACGGCGCCACCGAAGACUCGCCUAUGCUUCUCUCAUUCGGCGAUGAGCUCCAGACGGCGCAAGGCCAAGCUGUCACCAUCAUAUCUUCUGACGACGACUCCGCUCCUCCCUCCCAGCCUGCCUCACCACCCGCGGCUUUCACUACAACGACCGUCGUUGACUCCUCUGCUUCACCCGCCAGCGUCGACCGCCCCUCCCCACUCCCGGCUAGCGCCGCCCGGGAGAUCGUUCUGCCUCCGCCAGCCCAUCCGGUUGGCGGCGAUAAUGACGACGCUGCUAUCACUCCCUCCGCCAUGGCGCUCCCAUCUGCUUUCCGUCCAUACGACAGCUCAACUUCGUUAUUCCUGCCGCUCGACGCCUCCUCAAUCAUCUUCUCUGCCGGGGCUUCAUCCUCUGAAUCCUCCACCCACAAGAGCGUACUCCGCAAACUGCGCCACUGCGCCAAACGCUCUAUGGACAAGAGCAUGAGCCUGCGCCGGAGCUCGCGCUUGGCCGCCAAGGAACCCAAGGAGUUCACUGACAUGACCACCAAGGCGACACGAAUCAAAGCCGCCAGGCUCACUGCCUUUGAUGUAGCCAAAGCUCUCAAGGAUGCCAUCCACGAUGCCAAACUCGACAUCCCCGACGCCCUGCCCGCGCCUGCCGCACUGCUCGCUGAGAUCGCCAGCCUUUGCGGUGCUGAUGACCAAGGUUUUGGUAACCGAAUGAGGCAUUUUUACCGAGGGGGACUGGUAAACGCGGUUACCACGAUUACCAAGAAAUACCGAUAAAUACCGAGGAUAUUUCGAACGAAUUUUAUAGUUGAUUUUUGAAUUCAAAUAAGUUAAUGAACGAAUAUUUGAACCAUAAACCUCUCAAAACAGGAACUAGGUUACUACCAACACACCAGAACCAACUCUCAUGGCAUUAGUUAGAUCCUACGAACUUUACUACAAAUCGAGUGUUUAAAUUAAAAAAAUUAAAAAAACUGGUAUUUUUUGCUUGGUACGUGGAUUUAUCGAGGGGCACGGAAAUACGCGGUAACCAUGGGAAAUCUCGAAAUUUCGACCGGUAACCAAAACCUUGCUGAUGACUCGGCGGCCGCUGCGGUUGCCGAAGCUGACGAUGACGACGACGUCGGCGGUGCUGCUGGUGUGCCAUGAUGUGUGCAACAUCUGUUUCGCGCCUCCUCGGCGCUCUAAUGGCCGCCUGCCGUCCUCAACUACCCUACGCCCCUAGGGCCUAUCCUUUCCUUUCCAUGCCUGUACGGACUGGUUUUUCAAACUACUCCACCUAUCCUGCCGUUUGUCAUACUCCUUGCUUUCGUACUCGUAGUUUACUUCCGUCUAGGUGCCGGCCUUGUCUUUAUGUGUAACGCUGCCUUAUCUAUUUGUUCAUGGAAUGUGAGAGGGCUCGGUGAUGAAGAAAAGGGUCGGUCUACCUGGCGGCCGGGGGCUCCCUAGCGCUAGCGAGCGGCCGAGCAAAAAAAGUAAGCUAAUCCAAAAGUGCUAAAAGGCACUGCUAAUUAAACAUUUUAUAUGGUCUUUUCUCACGUGAUGGAUGCUUGCAUGCCGCUGCUUUAAUGUUUCUCAUGUUUGUUUCUUGUGCAUUAAUUUUUGGUUUUCAAAAUUAUAAAAGGCAUAUCUUCUAAAUCGCGUGUCGAAAUUCAGAUCCGUUUUUACCGUUGAAACCCUCGCGACGUGCUCUUCAAAAGUAGACCCCGCAUGAGGAUGUUUCGACGAACUAGCCUUCCUGCCAACUAAACACCAAUGUGUGUGCAACUAGACUACAUUGUCGCACCAACUGAGCAUAUGUGUGCGCCAAUAGUCCUGUCAACUAAACAUUAAUGUGUGUGCAACUAGACUACAUUGCUGCGCCAACUGAGCAUAUAUGUGUGUAACUAGUCAUGCCAACUAAAUAUUAAUGUGUGUGCAACUAGACUACAUUGCCGUGUCAAUUGCAUAUAUGUGUAUGUAACUCGUGUCCUGCCAACUAAAUAUCGAUGUGUAUGCAACUAGACUAAAUUACAAAUCAACUAAGCAUAUAUGUGUAACUAGUCAUGCCAUCUAAAUAUUAAUGUGUGUGUAACUAGACUACAUUGCCGUGCCAAUUGCGCAUAUGUGUGUAUAAUUAGUGUCAUGCUAACUAAAUAUCGAUGUGUAUGCAACUAGACUAAAUUACAAGCCAACUGAGCAUAUGUAUGUGUAACUAGUUUUCCUGUCAACUAAACAUCAAUGUGUGUGCAACUAGACUACAUUACAAGCCAAUUAAACAUCAAUGUGUGUGCAACUAGUCUUCCUGCCAAUUAAAUACUAAUGUGUAUGCAACUAGACUACAUUACAAGCCAACUAAAUAUCAAUGUGUGUGCAACUAGUAUUCCUGCCAACUAAAUAUGAAUGUGUAUGCAACUAGACUACAUCAUAAGUCAACUAAAUAUCAAUGUGUGUACAACUUAACUACAUUACAAGCCAAUUGAGUACAAACUUGACUAGGCAUAAAAUUGCUUCGUCCAGAUUUAGCAAACCACCAUCGCAGUGUGAGAGUAUGUGCGUUGGGCGUUGGUUGAAGGACACCGCCGCCACCCUGGCCAUUGGUCACUGCAACGGGCUACCACCUCGUCUUGGGCAGCCGCGGCGCCAGGAGGUGCAACUGGAGUCCGCCUGCAACGAGACGAGCCGGAGGGCGUCGCUAUUUUGCCGUGUCCCAUUUCGUCGCCGCGUCGAGCGAGAGGGCCCAUUUGACCGACCGUGACGCUGGCCCGUUUGACCUCCCAUCCAAUCAAUUCUAGUCGUGAGCGGCUCUUUCCCCAACUCCGACGAAGGGAAGAAGGCUCAAUCCACCUCUGGGAACUGAGAAGGAGCGUCCAGGAGGUGGGUUGGCAGCGGCCGGCGCGAGUUGAGGCAGAGGUGGCUAGCGCGAGAGAGGCGGAGAUGGCCCGCGCGAGCUGUGGUGGUGGCGGCCAACGCGAGGAGGAUGGAGACGAAGGAUGGGGACCCGUUUGGAUAGCGACAAACGCGAGUGGUUGAGAGGGCCCGACCACGUAGCACCUGACCCAUGAGCGUGACGGUUCAGGCGAGAUCAUGUGGCUAGGGAGCGGCCGCUCGUGAGCGCCAGAUAGCGCACGGCCACUUUUUAGAUUUUGGGUGAAGAAAAAUGCGCGGAUAUCCUUGCUGAACUUAUCAACAUUAGGCCACACUGUGCACUUCUUCAGGAAUCAAAACUAAACGAAAUCAGUGAUCGGAAAUUCCAGUCCUUCCUACCUCGAUCCUUAGACCAAAAGAUCUCCCUGCCAGCUGACGGCUCGGCUGGUGGAAUCAUCUCAGCAUUUAACUCCAACCACUUCUCCCUAAUCUCGCAUACCCAUCACAACUUCUCAACGUCUAUGCGUCUCUCCUCCCUCGCUCACGCCCUGACAUUAUAUUCCCACACAACGGUCUUCUCUUUUUCUCUACAUGUCCAGUACGAUUGUGUACAAUAACCGACAUGCAUAAUAAAAACAUAGUUAGAUUAUGCAAGGCCUAAGGGGUGCAUGCAGAAAUCAAGACUGAUGGUAGAAAAUGAGAGGAUUGGUCCAAAACUAAUGAUAACAGGUAGAUUAUAGCUUCAGUUUAAAAAAUAGACGAUGGAUCAUCUACUAUUUGUUGCCCACCCAACAUGAACCACAUAGAAGACCCCAGAUGAACCUGAUAGUAGACAGAUACUUUUCGUUGCUACCUCGACAUGUGCCUGAUAGGCAUUUUAAAACUCAAGUUUGAACAUUAGUUUGGACCUGACUUGGAUUCUAAGAGGUGAAUAGGACGAUAAAGUAGUAGGUAAUAAAAACCAAUGUAUAACGUAAGCAGACACGAAAAAGUGCAACCUCUCUUCCAGAACUGUGUAGUCCUCAGGUUCAUCUGCUCAGUCGAUGAUGUUAAUGCAGUUGGCGUGGCUGCCGGAAAUAGGGAAGAUGAUCUGAGGCGGCGAAAGAAAGUCUACAGGGGGAAUCUUUGCUGCAGUGAGUGCUUCUGUCGAUGGUGCACCUCAGGUGGGGUGGAUGACGACACGGCAGGAGCAGGACAUAACACACAAAGUUUUAUUUGACACCUAUCUAAAAAUGAAGUAAAUCUAUAAGGGCUCCUUAGAAUUGGAGGAUUCUAUAAAUGCAGGGAUAGGAAAAACAUAGGAAUAGGAUAGGAAUGCAUGUGCACGACAUAGCAUUUGCAAACAUAUGAUUUCUGUCAACCUGGGUGUUUGGUUCACAUGAAUUGGAAGAACACAGGAAUGGAGAGCAUGGUCAAAUUAAAGUCAAACCAUGUGAAAAUGAAAAAAUAAGAAUCUUAUUAUGCCAGUAAUGCAAUUAGUCCUGUUCUUCAUGCAUAUCAAUUUAAAAAGGACGUACAAGUGGAUAUUAAAAUUCCUAUGUUUUUUCUUUGAAAGAGACACCAAAGGAAAAAAUCCUCCUGUUUUGCUUUGUUCCAUUCCUUCUAACCAAAUGCACGAAUACUAGUCCGUAGUAAAGUUUCCAAUUCCUAUGUUUUCCUUCACUUUUUCUUUGAACCAGUGGCGGCAGUCUUCAAUAGGGCGAAGCCUGCCCUCGAAAUAUUUUGUGAGCUUAGAUUUGGUCCACAUUAGUAUCAUAUAAUGGCUAUCUUACUAAACCGAUCAAAAUUGUGGUUCAAAAGAGCUUUUAGUUUUCUCCCUGUUAACUUUGUGACCAUGGUUCAUUUAUUUCUAGAUUUAUAACUGCUUUGAACCAAAGGAUCCCUGAGGGAUCGACAUGAAUGCAGAGUAACAAAGUGAUGCGACGAGUGUACAACCUCUUUGGCAUAGCCUUGUUGACCUUAGCAUCAUUGGGUUGGACGUGGAGGAUGGUGAUGCUGGUGUGACUGUCAGAGGCGGGGAAGAAAAUCUGAGGCCCGUGGAAAUGGCGCCCAGGGUACUGCUCCGAUGUCAUGGAUGGUUCCGUCGUUGGAGCAGCUUCGUUGAGGUGUACGACGGCGAGGCUGAAGUAGGACAUGAUAGACAACGUUAAUCUGUAGUGGGACUUUAAUAUCAUCUACAAUAGAUGACGUAAAAUACAUCACCAAAAAGUGAUAGAUGUAAAAUGCAUCAGUCGUGACACGGCUGCUCCGACAGAUGCUGUAAAUACAGUUCACUCUGAACUUAACUAAAGAAAAUGAACUUUACAGCCAAAACUGAAUUUUAAUGUCAAAACUGAUUGGACUAGUAGCGGAGCAUUGCAAUAGAAGUUUAGGGCGUUCGAGCACUAGUAGCAGAGAAGCGGCCACUCAAGCAGGGAAUGCACUAGCAGAGAGCAACUCAUGCAACAGCAUCGCGAGCGAGUGCUAAAGCAGAAACUCAUGUAGCUACCGGAGGUUGUGCAGCAGUAGUAGCAACACGAGUGAUAGUAAGAGUAGAGCAACAGGACGAACGAGAGCUAGAGCGGAGUAGCAGUGCGACUGACAUCAAUAGCAGAGCAGAUCAUCAACAUGAACGAAAGCAAGAGCAGUGCAGCAGCACGACCGAUAGCAAGAACAGAGCCAUAGCGCGAGCGAGAGCCGGAGCAGCAGCAGCUAGUGCUGGUGUCUAUGUCGCCACCGAGGAAGCAACGACAUGGGGGAGAGACACGUGGAUGAAGUGGCCGGCAACGGCGCCGUCAAUGGAGACCUUCCAUGGCUAGUCGGUAUCGAGCACCGGCAGCCCUGUGAGAUCAAAUAAAAGAUAAAAUGCAGCGGUGAGUGCAGAACCUCCUUGGUGGCGCCGAGUAUGCCUCGGCUUCAUCGGAGGAAUUGGUGAGGGUGCUGCUAUUCCGGUGGGGCAUGUCAAGACGGUGUUGUGGGGAUGGAGAUGGCGCGAUAGAUGAGGCGAACAUCGGGGCAGCUCCUUGGAGGUGGAGGACGGGGUGGCUGAUCCGACGAGACGACGAGAUCGACAACGGAUCCUCAUCCGGUGCGGUGGAUGAGGGACGGUGAGCUAUUGUGGUGGACGACGUCGUUGGGAAAGAGUCACCAGCUAGGCGGCGGUAAGGAGGCCGACGGAGGAGCGUGGAGUUUCAAGAGCUUUGGCGGCCUCGGUGUAUGAAUGGGGUUUGACCUUGCGAUAUCAAGGCGGCAUCUCCGGCUGAGGGGUAGAAGGGGGAUUUCGCAUGUUUGGGCUGCGGGACCGACUUCGGAUGAGGAGGGUGUUUUUGCGCACGUCGAAAUUUUGGGAAAACAAGGCACGGCGCCAGUUGAAGAGGCAGGAGUUUCAAAGUAGAAGAGACAAAAGAUACUCGAGCAUGGAAAUUUUGGGCUAACAAGGCGUGGAUUCCAUGUUUGGUAGAACAAACUUAACGUGUACAAAAAAACAAUUCAUACAAGACACAAGAUAGUCAUGUCCCCUUUUACUAUAUUUCUAUAAAUGCCAUUGAAAGCGGGAGAACAAGAUUACCCUGUACAAUAACAAAUCAAUUCACACUUUCCUCAACAACAAAAAAACAAAUCAAUUCCCACCACAAGAAAGAGUCAUGUCCCUUUUUACAUGAUUACAAAUGCUAGGAUCUCGAAUUUCAAUUUUUGAAUCCAUGUUAUGUUGAAUUUGAAUAUAUCGUUAGGUGACCUUGUGGUUUAUAAUGGAUGUAGUCCUACAUUUUGAUCUUCCAUCUUAUUAGAACAUCUUACUCCACCCUAUGAACAUAUAUAUUGUCAUCUAUGAUAUCGACUAAAUUUGAAUCAAUUUUCCUUAUUUGAAUAUGAUUGCUGUCAAGUUAAACCAUCAUUUAAAGAUUAUCUUGAUAACAGAAAACAUGCAUCUAGCAGUAAUCAUGUUUCACUAUGAACUACAUGUACUAUACGAUCUCUAAUUCAAAUAUUUGUAUCCAUGUUAUGUUGAAUUCAAAUCACAGUACAUUGGUCUAGGUAGCGAGAUGUUCGGGAUAAUCUAAAACCUAUUUUCAUAUGUAUAAUUUUUGGCCGAAUUGGGAAAAGUUUUGGUAUAAGCUUCUUGCAAACUGGAGAUUUUCUCAACAAGCCUCAUGGUUCCGAGAGGGAACAAUGUCACCUUUGUGUGCUAAAUGAUAUACACUGCCUCCCCCUGAUUGUCUUUACAGAGGCAACAUAGAACUAUAUGAGUGCCCUGUUAAAUUUUGGAAUUAUUCCGGUUUCGUUAGGCCUUUUUUAUACACUAGAAAAACAUGCCCGUGCGUUGCAAUGGGAGGAAAAAAAGGCAUCUUUCAUACACACAUCCGACAACAUCAGCAAACAAUAAUCUUAAAAAAAUAUUUAUUGAGACAAUUUCAAACAAUAUGAAAAUCAACUUUAAGCCACUACAUAAAACUCGUAUCAACAGUUUAAUGUGCAUCAUCGUAUAGGGGUUGGUAAUGCACUGUACAAAAUAGAGAAGACUUUUAUUAAAUGCCCCACAUAGAGAACAUAUUAACUAAGUUUACAUUUUGUUAAUUUUAUGAAUUAUUCCGGGUUCGUUUGACCUUUUUAUACAUUAAUUGAGUUCCUGGACAUUUAAUUUGCAUAAUUAAAAUUUGAACCAAAGUUGGUUGAAAAAUCGCAUGUGCGUCCUUGGGUGUAUUUCUAGGUCCUAGGAAAGAAAUGGGAAUGAAAUUCAAACAUCUGGGCGUCGUGACUCAGCCGAGAACAUUGAGAAACUUGGUUUUUAAAUUCUUGAAAUCCAAAACUCGCCUGGAAAUCAUGAAACUUGGCAUGGUGUCAUGUCAUGGCACUAACAUGUUGUGGUAAAAAACUUGGCUGAAUUGGAAUAAGUUUUGGUAUAAGCUUCUUGCAAACCGGAGCUUCUCUCAACAAGGCUCGUUGUUCUGAGAGGGAACGUGUCACCUUUGUUUACGAAGCGAUAUACGCUGCCCCCCUUUGAUUUUCUUUACAGAGGCAACAUAGAACUAUAUGAGUGUCGUGUUAAAUUUUGGGAUUAGUCCGGGUUCGUUUGGCCUUUUUAUACAUUAAUAGAGUUUCUGGUCAUUUAAUGUGCAUAAUUCAAUUUUGAACUACAAGCACAUGCUCCAGUGCACCAAUGUUGGUUGAAGAAUAACAUGUAUGUCCUCGGGUGAAUUUCUAGGUCUCAUGCAAGAAAUGAGAAUGAAAUUACAACAUCUGGGCGUCGUGGCUCGGCCGAGAACAUUGAGAAACUUGGUUUUAAAAUUCUUGUAAAUCCAAAACACGCCUGAAAAUCAUGAAACUUGGCAUGGUGUCCUGCCAUGGUACUAACAUGUUGUGGUAAAAAAUUGGGUGGGUGGAACAAAUUUUGGUAUAAGCUUCUUGCACACCGCAACUUCUCUCAACAAGGCUCAAGGUUUUGAGAGGGAACGUGUCACCUCCGUGUGCGAAACGACAUACACUGCCUUCUCCCGCCUUGAUUUUUUUACACAGGCAGCUUAGAACUAUAUGAGUGUCGUGAUUUUGGAAUUAUUGCAGGUUCGUUUGUCCUUUUUUAUACAUUAAUUGAGUUUCUGGUCAUUUAAUGUGCAUAAUUUAAAUUUGAACUACAAGCACAUGCUCAAGUGCACCAAAGUUGGUUGAAAAAUUACAUGUGUGUCCUCGGGUAAAUUUCUGGGUCCCAUGCAAUAAAAUGGAAUGAAAUUCAAACAUCUGGGGCGUCGUGGCUCGGCCAGAAACAUUGAGGAACUUGGUUUUUUAAUUCCUGUAAAUCCAAAACACGCAUGAAAAUCAUGAAACUUGGCUUGGUGUCAUGACAUGGCACCAACAUGUUGAGGUAAUUUUGCUGUUCGAUUUGCUAAGACGCACACAUUAACAAUCAACAAAGUCAUUUUGGAACAAGUGUUGUCACAUUACAAUCGGAAACACAAGUAUUAUUCAAACCAUGGGCGUUCUACUUACCAUUUACGUGUCGCCACGCGUCCCUUUUUUUAUUAGCUAGGAGGUGUCGUGCCUGGUAGCUAUUUGAGUACGGAAGGCGUGCGAUCAGACCCCUGCACGUGCUUAUCGGGAGGAGAGCCCUUUGACCUCCAUCUGAUGCCCACCUCUCUCCCAAGGUCUCCACUAAUGAUGCCUGAGCUCCUGUUUAAUGGCAUGACUAUGUCUCACUAGACUGAGAUUUAAGAGAGAAAAAAAGAAAAUUUUGCACGGAUCUUGGUGUAAGAUCCGACGGACCUAUAUAGCAUCUACUGCGACUUAUAGCAAAAUUGAUGAAUAUAUAAGGACGACGACAAUGGAUAAUAACUGUCUUACAUAAUUAGGAAGAUAAUUAAAAAUCCACAUGCGGCUACACCCGAAAUAUACAAGGGCAAAAGAAGAAGGAAGAUGCAUAGAAGGGCCAAAAUACAUAGGUCGCGGAGACUAGUUCUCGCAGCGAGCAGCGAUGAUCUCUUUCAUCAGUUUCAUGUCCUUAAUACGCUGCUUGGCAGCAUCCACAGAUUCCUUCACUAGUCUUUCAUGCUCGAUGCGGAGCAUGGGAUUCUUGUCCAUAAGUUUCUUGACGUUGACGCCCGUCCUGUUCAACACGGGAGCAGUCUUCUCCGCCUAAUUUGCCCUUUCGGCGAUCUUCACCCUCAGCAGGUCGCGCUCGGCUCGGAGCUUCACAUUGCCCUCCCAUGAUUGUCGGAUGAUGCCGGUAGCUUGUUCAAAUGAGUCUUUCAUGUCAUCCUGCAACCUCGCCCAACCGGAGAUCUAAUCCAUCUGGCUAUGGACGAUCGCAUGCAUGCGCCUAUAAGAGUCGUCGCCUGCUUGCAAGACAUUUUCCUAGGCCGCCGCGGCACGGGAGGACAUGUUUGCCGCAUUUGCGGCACGGCGGGACAUCCUGCUGCUUCCGCGGCGCGGCCAGACCAGUCUGCUGCAUUAACAGUGCGGUGGGACCUCCGUGCUGCUUCGGCGGCGCAGCGGGACCUCCGUGUUGCUUCUGCCGUGCGGCAGGACAUGUCGGCUGCUUUCGCGGUGAGGCGGGACAUCUCUCGUCCUUCUGCUUCAAUGCUCGCCUCUCCCUGGUGGUAAUCUCUCGACCCAAAACUCAUGCUGUCCACGGCAGACACAAGGGAACGAUGCUGAAUGACUUGUUUGUUUUUGUGGAUGAGGAGUUGAGGAGAAUGUGCAAUCAUCUUGGCAUGGUAGUAUUUAUAACCAAGUACUAAUACGCUCCUAAGUGGGAAACCAUUUAGGUUGUGAUCGGUUUGAAUAGGUUUGCAUUUAAAUAUAGCGUGGUAAUAAUUUGGAAUGUGACGAGAUGCAAGCUCAAAAUUUAUUGAUGGUUCUAGUUUCAAAGUGCAGCAUUAUUCCCGGAUGGCGUAACGUGGGCACAUGUUCUCGGUCGUGGUGUAGCAGUUUAGUAAUAUUCCAUGGUACUUAUUUUUCUACUGCUAUGUAUGUGCAAUAACUGGCACCAUCAGAUACAUAUCUUACGGUUAUUGGGGCGUUCAAUAGGAAUAGCCUCGUGGUGAGCUAUAGACUAGUCUUUUUUCACACGCAUUACAUCAAGACAUAUCAUCUCUCUCCAUCUUUCCCACGCACACACCUAGUCUCUCGGGACUUCUUGCACGAACCAUCUAUAUCUCCCUAGGUCGAUGCCACCCACAUACACUUGUACUCUGAGUUUAGUACGUUAUACACGAAGAUAAGAGGUGCACACACGCACUCGUCCUCUCUCACACAUGCAUCUGUAGCUAUGAAUUGUCGUGUUCUCAACCAUCCGAUUGGCUCUAUUAGGUUCCCAUUGCUCCUUGGCCUUUAGAUUGAGAAGUUUAAAACGCGGAGGCUAAGCUGGAGGCACGAGGUUUUCGUUAAUGUGCGGGCCGCACACAGCACCAACACGACAUGAGCUUCGUCUGCCUGGUGCAUAGUCGGGUGAGUUGUCAAAGUAUAGACACAACAAGGCCCUCCUUGGUAUAUGUGCCUCGACUUAUGCACAGAGAAAUUAGGAUCGGAGGGAGUAGUACUAGUAGUAGUACUACUUUGAUGUGUCGCGUCAACUCACACAAGUAUGCAACACUUCCUGAACGAACAACCAUAUAAGCUGCUUAUACUUCUUACCUAAAGGAUCUUUAUAUCUAACAGACACAAAAUAUCUGUUUGACCGUUGGAAAUUACUUUAACUACUGAUCUGAUGUUGAAGUAAUUGCUGCAUCGCCACCAAAACCGACCAUCUCUUAAGCUAAAGUAGACCAAGCUAACCGAUAUAUUAGUAUAUUACUAAGAUAAACAAAAGGCAAUGUAAAAUCAUUUAGGAGGUGAGCUUGUCAAUCUAAAUGUGGAGGGACUGUCGGAUUAAGGCCUCCGCAGACCCUAGAAAGGUUUGAACUUUGGGGCGCGUGCGAAGAACUCAAUCUGCCCCGCCUACUGACUUGCCGCUCUCACAGCCUAGCUCAACAAACAUGAAAGGAAAUAGACACAACAGUUUACCCAGGUUCGGGCCACCUUGCGUUGUAAGACCCUAUGUCAGGACCCCGAUUCUAAGUCACACCGAUCUAGCCUGUAACACCUCAUAUCACUUUGCGACCUCAUGCACGGUAUUCCCACGGGUGUCGCCUUACCAUGGCUCGGGACCGUUUGCUCCUUUUGGGUCACGUAUAUGAUAGUGUCGCUAGCAUCCAUAUGACAGAGAACCCGGGCCGACAUGACUAGUCGUGAACCCAAAGUGGCACUAACUUACGGGAACAGGCAUACAUGAAUCAACAUCGAGCAUGUCGGUCAGCAGCGUGUGAAUCCGGGCUGUAGCACUGGCUAACAGGACUCGGGGAACCCGGGCUGUAGCAGGCUAGGCAGGACUCCGGAUGUCACCGCGUGACAUUUCCCCGAAGGGACAGACACAGGAAUGAAGUGAAUCACAUGUCGGCCAGUCUAGUGUUCCGGAGCAGUAGUGCUGGGCUAGCAGGACUCCGGUGAACCGGGCUGUAGCGGACUACUAUGGCUCAUGGAAGCACAACACUACAUUUCCCCAUAAGAGAGGCUACCAAGGAUAAACAACUAGGUUGUCGGAUCCCACACAUACCAAGCAUUUCAAUCAUACACACAAUAUGCUCAAUAUGUGUAAUACAACAUGGCAUCACAACAAGACUCCACGACUCAGAGUAUUUAUUCAUUAGGCUCGGAGGAGCGAGAUAUUACAAGCAUCGGUCUCAUGACACAACAUACAGAGCAUACAAGCAACAAGCACAUGCGGAAGCUUAACAUGUCUGAGUACAGACAUCUACAAAUGAAAAAGGUUGAGAAUCCUGACUAUCUACAAGACCCUCCCAAGGAUACAAGAUCGUAGCUGAGGUAACAAGCUAAACGUCGAAGUCCACGCGGAACUACUAGCGAGACUGAAGUCUCUCUGCAAAACAUAAAUUAAGCAAACGUGAGUACAAUUGUACCCAGCAAGACUUACAUCAGAACUAACUACAUAUGCAUCGGUAUCAACAAAGAGGUGGUAGAGUUUGACUGCAGCAAGCCAGCUUUGACUCAGUGGCUAACCUGAACUACGACUGCAAGUAACUCUUUUGAGGUGGCGCACAUGAGUCCACAUAUUCACCAUAUCAAUACUCCAUAUGGAUCCGCUCCCGUCUCCCUACGAGAACGCCAUCCAUAGCACUCAUGCUUAUCUUGCGCAUUUUAGAGUAUCCACUUUCACUUAUCUAUGAACUAUGCAAGGGGUCUAAGUUUCCAUAUCCGAGGAAUCCGGCUAUUCGAAUAGAGAAUGAUAAUCCUGCAGGGGUGUACUUCUUCACACACGCUCUCGCCACUUACCACCAAGUACACGCCGUGUAUCUCGGCAACCUUCAAGCGGAAGCCUGGCGAGGGAGUCGGCCACGACCUGACUAACCAACAAGCCUCUAGUCCAGGUUUAUCGCCUAUUCGGGUUCCAUCCGCAAGGAGAUCCGGCCGAGGUGUCGCUCACGGCCCCAAACAAUGUGUACAGGGUUCCCAAGCCCACCAUCCGGGUGCCACUUGGUACACCGGGCCACAGUGCCUAGUCUAUCCCAAGCGCACCUGUACCGGGUGCCACUUGGUAGACUACUAACACUACCUACAAACACCAGAAACUAGUUGCAACUCCUGGACAGAGAUCAGGUUGAUUAAUAAGUCGAGAGGGGCACUUAAGCAUUCCAAUGUGUGGUAGUAGCUGUUCAUGGAUCACAAACACAGAAAUCAGUUCCUAAUGACGACUGCAAUGAGACAACCCACCAUGUACUCCUACAUGGCCUCUCACCGCUACCUUUACCAAAUCGUGUUCACACACUUAGCUCUCAACAGUAGGACAUGUUCACCACAUUCCAAUUCAUCCCCGAUGAAUCAGACCUAACUCAACUCUAAGCAGUAGCAGACAUGACAAACAAACAUGAAUGAGUAGGCACAUCAGGGCUCAAACAACUCCUACUCAUGCUAGUGGGUUUCAUCUAUUUACUGUGGCAAUGACAGGUCAUGCAGGGGAAAGGGGUUCAGCUACCGCAGCAUGUAACAGUUGAAACGUUGUUGUCCUAAUGCAGUAAAAGAGAGCAGGAGCGAGAGAGUGGGAUUGUAUUGGAAUGAACAAGGGGUUUUUGAUUGCCUGGCACUUCUGAAGAUAAUAUAGUUCUUCAUCGGUCUCAUCGAUCACAUCGUCGGAACCACGUCUAUCGGGGGGAAACAAUCACCAGCAACACAGAAAGAAUAUAAUCAAUGCAAUGCACAAUAUGAUGCAUGAUCAUGACAUGUCAAUAUGUUGUGAUUUGAACUAAUGCAACUAAAACCAGAAGGGUUUGAGCUAAUUUGACCCAAGGGUUCAAAUUCAAACUCAAGUUAUGAAUUUAUAAUGUGCCUUAUCAUGUUUUCAUCUAUACAGCAAGGUUAAGUUGCUUUGUCAUGCAUGAAGCCAACAUAAAUGGAUAGAUUGGAUUUUUCUGAUAAUUUGUCAUAUAUAAAUUAUUUGAUUUGGAGUUACGGUUGAAUUACUAUGAAUUUCUGAAGUUUUAGACAUUUUCUGGAAUUUCCUAAUUAUUUAAAAUCCAGAAAAUGAUUUACUGCGUCAGCAUGACAUAGCUGUGACGUCAGCAGGUCAACUGAGCUGUUCUGGGUCAAACCUGACCAGUGGGGCCCACUGGUCAGUGUAAUAGUGCUGGCUUGGGUCACUAACAGGUGGGGCCGGUCAAGGUCCACGUCAGCUCGGUCAAAGCUCACGCAUGGGUCCACUGGUUUUGCUAAUUAGCCUAAUUGUUUUGGUUAACCAGUAAACUAACAAACUGGGACCCACUGUCAGUGACUAGUGUUAACUAAUACGGUUAAUUAGUCCCUAAUCUAAUGACGGCCACAUCGGCAGCCGCCGGGGUUAGUCGUCGGUGACACACAGAUGCGGCGCAGCUUUCCAAAGUGGCGCUAGAGGCUCCGGCUUGCCGUGCUGAGGGCACCAGGGGGGAGCCCUCGCUCGCCCCCAUCCAGGGGUGCACGCAGCUGGGCGCAGGGAGGCCGGGGUCGACGGUGGCGACCACUUGGGCGGCGGCCGGAGCACGGGGUUGGCCUGGAGGGGCUGCAGUGCAUGGUAGGAGGUGCUGGUGGUGGAUUUGGCUUGCUGGGGAGCUUCUGAGAACGUUAAAGGGCUCGGACGCGGGUGACAGCAGUUGUGGUCGCGGUGGCGUCAUGGCCGGCGGCGGCGAGCUCAGGAGCUGACGAGAGGGGUAGCUACGGCACGUAUCCGAUGAGAGAAACAGAGGGGGAAAGGUAGCACGGCUCAUGGUGGUUCGACGGGGAGGCUCAGCGGGCUCGAGGAGGACCGGUAGGUGGCGAAUCGUCGAUGAAGUCCGGUGAGCAGAUGCGGCGGUGACGAGCUCGAGGGCGACGUUUCGGGGCGCCCGCGGUCGCGUGCUUCAGCAUAGAGCUCGAGGGAGACGCGGGGAACCUCCUAGACAUGGUGGUUCAGCGAGGCGGCGGCGGUGGCUGCGAGAACUGCCGUGGCCUGCUCGUGGCGGCUUCGGCAUCGGGGGGAAGAAGCGGUGGGACGAGGGGAAAGUGAGCAGAGAGGGAUGGCUCGAUGCAGACGGCAGCGGCGAAGUCGCCCGCGUCGUCGACGUGUCUCAGGAGGCAGCCAUGCACCUGCUACAUGGCGUGUGGUGAGCGCGCAUGCAUCGAGAAGACGCGCCCUGUCUACUGGCGCGGUGGAGAAGAUGAUGGGAGGUGGGCUGCAUAGUAGUGGGCCGGCUAAAUGGGCUGCGGCAAGUUAGGUGGGUUUCUUUCCCUCUCCGCCUUUCUACUUUUGUUUCUGUUUUCUAUUUAUUUUGAUUUGUUUUGAAUUAGUAAAAAUACUAACUCAUUUUGUAAAAUCCUGACAAAAUUGUGGGCACUAUUUGAAUUAUUUCCAACAGCCCCCAAUUGUUUUCAAAAGUAUUGAAGCAUUUAAAAUAUUUAUAGGCAUUAAAUGCUCCAAUUGAAAUACAAUAUAAUUUAACUCAAAAAUCCAUAAAUGUCCAAGAAAUAUGCUCAUCAUUUUUGGCAGAGGUUUUCACCUUUAUCAAAAACCACGAACAUUUUCAAAGGGCAUUUUGGGUUUAUUGAAAAUGAUUUUAUGUUGAACCUAUUUGAUUUGAUCUGGUGCUAGGGUUUGAACAGUCCCCAAUUCAAAUUCAUUGAAAUUUAAACAUGAUGCUCACAUGAAAGGCUAGCCUAGUGCAUACCAGAACUAGGGAUGUGACACCCUACUCCUGCUUUCAUGUGGAUUUGCCUCGCGAGGGGCUGAGGAUGAACUAGUAUAGAGGAAGAACAACCUCAGGAGGUCAGUUCUUCUUUUGCUGUGAGCUAGUGAGGGUUCGGAUUCUCUCUCCUCCUAUGGUGGUGGCUACCCUAUAUUUAUGGUGGCCUCAGUCCUCUUCCUCCAAAACAAAGGCGGGAAGGGAUCCCACAAUGACCAAAUUUGAAGGGGGACAAGUAGUACAUCUUAUCCUGACGAAAGGUGGUCUUCACCUGCAAAGUUUCUGCUCAUGACGCCACGGUGGGCUUGGUGAUGACAUCCGUCCUGCCGGCCUAGCGGUCUUGGUCUUGUAGCACGGGAAUGGAAACCAUUGGCUGAUUCCUCGGGACUCCGUGCGUGGCUUGCCUCCUUAGCACCAAAGAGGAAACCUGCUGCUCUGCGUCCGCAUGGCCUUAGUCGUCACGGCUUGCAUCAUCCGGGCCUCAUGGGAUGGGCGCUUGCAUUGUAAUCUCCGCUCCUUAGGAGCCAGCCUGACAAGGCCACUCCCUCUAGAGGUCUUGGGGUCGUUCGGCUCGCGAGGGUCUUUUCUUGCCGAUGCUGAAGAUGGGUCGUACCAGGCCGUUGAUGGAGCCACGCCGUGUGCCGCGGGCAGGCAAGUCUGGGUACCCUGGUUCCCAGAACACCGAUAGUAGCCCCUAGGCCCAAGGCAUGCUCACACUUGGCUUCAAGGUGAAUCCAAAGGGCAAGGGCGAAGCGCUAGGGGCCCCAAUUGCCUGCGGACCGAGUCGACGUGUGGCGCUUGAUGGGACAUGGGCGCCCAAACUUCGCUACACUGCCUCGGCAACCGUCCUAGGGUGACAAAAAGACUGGCGCUUGCCGCUGAGCCUUCAUUUCCUUCUCUUCAUCUUGUUCCAGAUCUCCUUUCCACUCCACCAAGAGUGCCUCUAGAUCCGCCGAAUCUUUUCCUCGAACUCUUCGGUGAUGGUGACCAAGAAGGAGAAGCCCACCACUCCGGCCAUGCAAUCUGCCUCCUCGCCCGUGCCGGCCCUCAGCAUGUCCUCCAUCACCGAGGCGGCGCACCUUGCCGACGUGCUCCCGCUGACGGUGAGCUGCCAGGACUCCGAUUCCAAGUCACAUCGAUCUAGCCGGUAACACCUCAUAUCACUUUGCGGCCUCAAGCACGAUAUUCCCACGGGUGUCGCCUUACCAUGGCCUGGGACCGUUUGCGCCUUUUGGCUCACGUAUAUGAUAGUGUCGCUAGCAUCCAUAUGACAAAGAACCCGGGCCGACAUGGCUAGUCAUGAACCCAAAGCGGCACCAACCUAUGGGGACAUGCAUACAUGAAACACAUCGAGCAUGUUGGUCAGCAGCAUGUGAAUCCGGGCUGUAGCACUGGGCUAACAGGACUCCGGGAACCCGGGCUGUAGCAGGCUAGGCAGGACUCCGGAUGUCACCGCGUGACAUUUCCCCGAAGGGACAGGCACAAGAAUGAAGUGAAACACAUGCCGGCCAGUCAAGUGUCUUGAGCAGUAGUGCUGGGCUAGCAGGACUCCGGUGAACCGGACUGUAGCGGACUACUAUGGCUCAUGGAAGCACAAGACUACAUUUCCCCAUGAGAGAGGCUACCAAGGAUAAACAACUAGGUUGUCGGAUCCCACACAUACCAAGCAUUUCAAUCAUACACACAAUAUGCUCGACAUGUGUAAAUACAACAUGGCAUCACAACAUAACUCUACCACUCAAGUAAUUAUUCAUUAGGCUCCGAGGAGCGAGAUAUUACACACAUGGGUCUCAUGACCCAACAUAUAGAGCAUACAAGCAACAAGCACAUGCAGAAGCUUGACUACAAAUGAAGAAGGCUGAGAAGCCUAACUAUCUACCAGAUCCUGCCGAGAGCACAAGAUCGUAGCUAAGUUAUCAAGCUAAACGUCGAAGUCCACACGGAACUACUAGCGACACUGAAGUCUCUCUGCAAAAACAUAAAUUAAGAAAAUGUGAGUACAAAUGUACCCAAGAAGACUUACAUCAGAACUAGCUACAAAUGCAUCAGUAUCAAGAAAGGGGUGGUGGAGUUUAACUACAGCAAGCCAGCUUUGACUCGGUGGCUAUCCUGAACUACGACUGCAAAUAACUCUUUGAUGUGGCGCACACGAGUCCACAUAUUCACCAUAUCAAUACACCACUAUGGAUCCGCUCCCGUCUCCCUACGAGAACGGCAUCCAUAGCACUCACGCUUAUCUUGCGCAUUUUAGAGUAUCCACUUUCACUUGUCUAUGAACUAUGCAAGGGGUCCAAGUUUCCAUAUCCGAGGAAUCCGGCUAUUCGAAUAGAUAAUGAUAACCCUGCUGGGGUGUACUUCUUCACACAUGCUCUCGCCACUUACCACCAUGUACACAUCGUGUAUCUCGACAACCUUCAAGCGGAAGCCUGGCGAGGGAGUCAGCCAUGACCUGACUAACCAACAAGUCUCUAGUCCAUGUUUAUCGCCUAUUCGGGUUCCAUCCGCAAGGAGAUCCGGCCGGGGUGUCGCUCACGGCCCCAAACAAUGUGAGCAGGGUUCCCAAGUCCACCAUCCGGGUGCCACUUGGUACACCGUGCCACUAUGCCUAGUCUGUCCCAAGCCCACCUGUACCGGGUGCCACUUGGUAGACUACUAACACAACCUACAAACACCAGAAACUAGUUGCAACUCCUGGACAGAGAUCAGGUUGAUUAAUAAGUCGAGCGGGGCACUUAAGCAUUCCAAUGUGUGGUAGUAGCUGUUCAUGGACCACAGACACAAAACUCAGAUCCGAAGGACGACUUCAAUGAGACAACCCACCAUGUACUCCUACAGGGCUUCUCACCGAUACCUUUACCAAAUCGUGUUCACACGCUUAGCUCACGACAGUAGGACAUGUUCUCACACCUCUAAUUCAUCCCCGAUGAAUCAGACCUGACUCAACUCUAAGCAAUAGCAGGCAUGACAAACAAGCAUGAAUGAGUAGGCACAUCACGGCUCAAACAACUCCUACUCAUGCUAGUGGGUUUCAUCUAUUUACUGUGGCAAUGACAGGUCAUGCAGAGGAAAGGGGUUCAACUACCGCAACAUGUAACAGAUGAAAUGUUGUUGUCCUAAUGCAGUAAAAGAGAGCAGGAGCGAGAGAGUGGGAUUGUAUCGGAAUGAACAAGGGGUUUUGCUUGCCUGGCACUUCUGAAGAUGUUAGCUCUUCAUUGGUGUCAUCGAACUCAUCGUCGGAAUAUGCCUACCGAGAGGGGACAAGCACCGGCAAUAGAGAAGAAAACAAUUAAUGCAAAUGCGACAAUAUGAUGCAUGAUCGUGGCAUGUAUAUGUGAUGCUGUUUGUGCUAAUGCAAACAACAACAAGUUAAUGGAGCUCAUUUGAAUCAAGGAUUCAAAUGUAACUCCAAACUUAAGCAUUUUAAAUGCCCUCUAUGUGUUUUCAUCUAUACAGCAGGUUUAGGUUGGUUUUUCAUGCAUGAAACUAGUACAGAUGGAUAGAUUGAAUUUUUAUGAUAAUUUUUCAUAUAUAAUUUGUUAGAUUUGGAGUUACGGUUGAAUUACUAUGAAUUUUGAAGUUUUGGAUAUUUUUUGCAAUUUUCUGAAUUAUUUUAAAUCCAGAAAAUGUUAACUGCGUCAGCAUUGCGUCACUGUGACGUCAGCUGGUCAACUCGGCGCCUCCAGGUCAAACCUGACCAGUAGGGCCCACUAGUGAGUGACACAUAGUCAGCUACAGAGGCUGACAUGUGGGACCCGAUCAAAGCUGACGUGGCCAAGUCAAAGUUGACAAGCGGGGCCCAAUGAAAUUAGUGCUAAUCUAACAGAGAGUUAAACUAAUUAGUUUAGGCACUGGGCCCACAUGUAAGUGGGUCAGGAGGUCAAUUAGUGAGUGAUUAGUGCUAACUAAGUGGCCACGUCGACAGUCGCCAGAGUCUUGCCUGCGGUGACCUCGAAUCGUGGUGGAGUUUGCUCGGAACUCACCAGAUGUGAUGGAUCGACGCGCGAGGGGCACCAGAGGAUAGCCCGUGCUCGUGCGCAUCUAGGGGGACCAACGGGAGGUGCGGGGGUGGCCGGAGUUCGCUGCAGUGGAACCCGCGGCGGCUGCCGGAGUUCGGGGUUGGUGUGGGUUAGCGCAGUGGUGUGCUAACGAGCGAGGCAAAGGUCUAGCAGGGCACUACGUGUUGCGGGGAGCAAGUAGGACUCGCCGGGGUGACCAUUUGGUCACCGGAGCUGCGCCGACGACGAGCUCAAGCAGCGGCGGCUACGGUCGUCAAGCGGGCGAUGUCUACAGCUCAAAAUCAAAGGGGAGGAAGGUGGGCAUCCACGCAGGAGCUCACAGCGGUUCGUUCGGUGGCCCUAGCGAGCUCGGGGAAGCGCCGAAGCAGGCGCAUGGUUGCCGGCGAUCUCGGUGGCCCGAGGUUGAAGAAGACGCUGGUGAGGGCGUCCGGCGUCGCUUGGCUUGGCGAGGAGGUCAAGGACGAAGUAGCCGAGCUACUGGGCACGUCGAGGGGUCAAGGGGGAGGCUCUGGGUGCAGCAAUGGUGAGUGGUGGCGACGAGCUCCGCUCGGUGGUGCUCGGGAGAGAGGGGCAGACGAGGGAGAGACACAGGAGAGAGGGGGGAAGUGACCAGGGGUUGCAUGGCAUGUUCAGGGCGUCGAGGGAGUGAAGCAGGAAGGGUGGAGGUGGCCUAGGCGUGGCCAGGAGGCGGCGAGCACGCGCCCUGUCCUUCUGUCCAAGGAGGAAGACGACAGGGGGCCGCGGUGGUGGGCUGGGCCGCCAGCUACAGUACUGGUGCCUGUUGGUGGGCGCCAGGUAAGCUUCUGCCAGGUAAGUCCGUCUCUCUCUUCCUAUUUUUCUUUCUGUUUUCUAUUUAUUUUGCUCUGUUUUGAUUUAGUAAUAAAACUAAACCAUUUUUGUUGCUUCUGAAAUUAUUUGUGGAUGCAAUAUGGACUAGCCCAAAGCCCCACAAUAUUUUUCAGAAUGAUUGGAGUUAUAAAAGUAUUUAUAGGAAUUUAUAACCCCAAGUCAAAUACAAUAUGAGUUAAUUCAAAAAUCCAAAAAUGUCCUAGAAAUAUAUUCAUCAUUUUUGGCAGAGGUUUCUACCUUAACCAAAAAUCAUGAACUUUUCUUGAGGCACUUUGGGUUCAUUGAAAAUGUUUUUAAGUUGAACCUAGUUGAGUUCUUUUGGUGCUAGGGAUUGAUCACCCCUAUUUCAAAUUUAGAUAAAAUUUAAACAUGAUGCAACACCAGAUGCUAGCACUAGGCACCACCAGAACUAGGGUUGUGACAACUCACCCCCACUAAACAAGAAUCUCGCCCCGAGAUUCAAGACAUGAGGUAAGGAGACAGAGGGAACACAAAGCUGAUACAAUCUUCAUGACCCAUACUUCAUAUUGAUCUUGACGUCUUCGCUUUCGAGAUCUUCAUCCAGCACGACGAUGACAGAAAGAGACUCUAUAGGAAUCGAUCUUCUCGAAGAUCGAACAACUGACGAUCAACUAAUGGAAUGAGGCAUAACAAUAUCUCUCGAGUUGAGACGCAAAACACCCAUCAUAAGCAAUGGAAACAAACUGAUGACAAGGGUUCAAUUUGGUAGGCAACAAUCCCAUGCCCGGUCACGACGUAGCGGGGGGUUAGCUGCCAUGCUUCCAUUGCGGGGCACCUUAGGGAAGGUGACUCGUAGAGCUAUUCCCUUAGGUGGCAAAAAGAAUUACUUUUGAUACAAAGAUCAUUGAAGCUCUUUAUACCAGCCUAAGGCAAUCACAAUCGAUCAUUUGACGGAGUUCGGGAGAGCCACAAACUCGGGCUAGAAUGGAUGAUGUGAACUACCUUGUUGAAGACAACGCAAGGGAUGAUUUUGCUUGCGUGUGCUCUCAAGAACUUGAGCAUUUCCAUAUUGAUCAAGGUUCUACCAACAUCCGAGUCGAGGAUCCUGGCAACACAUCUUACUAGCAUGAUGAAUAGUGAUGGACGAUGCAAAUGCAAAGGAAGACAACACCUUCUUAGAUUUUACCUUAGCAAUGCCAAGAAGACAAAACCUGGAUGAUCGACCGAGCAUCUAGCACUCUACUUCUAAUGUUUCCUUGAUGUGCUAGCGUAAUCCAUUCAUAGAUAUGGUUUGAUAUAUAGAACAUCAAGUAAAAGGUCGGACUUCAGGAACACAAAAAUCCAUGAGGAACAACUAUUGGAAUAAAUUCUACGAGAUCCUUAUGGGAAGGUGGCCAACUUUCUCAAUCAAGAUACUACAACAACAAGUCUUCCAGUUGUGUGUGUUGGCCACAACAUCCACUUUACCGGGUUACAGAGAGACCAAUAUUAUAGUUCUUGAGAAACGUUCCAACCAUCAUAUCUGCCGAGAUUCAGAUCUGGUUGGUGUCAGGAUAAUCUAGACUCAUCUAGUCUGGAAAGAAAAAUGAAAGUUUGCAACACAAAUUGACGAGAUGACAUUGCGAGACUCUUGGGGGAAUGAACUAUGGUAGUAAGCUCCAAAACAUGAGCCGGUUCUGCUACAAGCAUGUGAACACGCUGUCCUAGACAAGCAUGGUCACCUGGUAGUCUCACAAUGAAACAGUACCGAGUUCAGGGGGAACCAUCAACAAGGAUAUCAAAGUCCUUGCAUAAGUCUAGCUCUUAAGAAGAAACUUCGUCUCCUUGAACAAAUCAAUCAGUGGCUUGGUGUGCUAGGGACACAUAUGGGAUGGAGGUAGCGAGCCUGUGAACCCAUAGCAUACUUCGCACAUGCAUGACUGACUUGGGAUGGUACUAGAGGAAACAAAACCAAUCUUUCUCGAACUCACGGCGGCAACUUGCACCAAAUGCACGUGAACCAAAGAAAGUCAUUUCUUUCAUCCAAUAUAUGCUUCAUGAGCGGAACAUCAAGAUAAUGCUCUUUAGAAGUUUCCAACACUAGCUGGAUGUUCAACAUGAAUCAUGGAGAUGAUGAAAAUGUUGUCAAUGGGCUCAACAACAAUUUAUCAAAAUUUCCAUAUAGAUGGAAUCCCAUAACUAUGUGAACAAAGUAAUAGCAUUGGUCAGACCCAAAAGAUAUAAUGGUGUAUGCUCGACAACCGCGAGUAAGACAACAUGACGAACAUCGUUGCUUCUGAUUUGAUUUGAGAAUAACCCACACUCAAAUCAAAGUUUGGACAAGACAAUAGAUCCAAAAACUUAUCACGAGGACCAAUUGAUGAAGAUACCGUCUUUCUUCAACUAACACACACAAACACAAGGAUAUCUCUUUGGAAACGAACUAAGUUAGGCAAGCUUUUAUCUUCCAACUCUCCAAGUUGUUGUUUAGCUUAACCGACUAGCUCAGGGGUAUCCAACACAGAUCCUUGGAGAAGGAGUGGUUUACAAGAAACCAACUUGAUCACGAACUCAACAUAGCGGUCAGGUGACAACCUGGUAACACUUCCGAGAAGAUAUUCAGAAAUUCACGAACCACCGAUAUGUUACUAAGAUCGAGAGCAAUCUUGCUUUGCAAGGCAAGACGAUGUGAUCAAUAGAGCAAGGGUUUGACACAAUCCUAACUCAUUGAUCGAAUAGUGCUCCGUAAAUAAGGACUAGGUAGCACGAUCAAUCCUAGAAUGAUAAUUCAAUAACCAACACUCUAAGAAUGAGUUUAUUGUCGAUUAACUACCAAGCAAUGGGGUUGCUAGGAGUAUUGAUUUCACACAUCACGAUUCACUUGUCGGUGUUCCGGUUACAAUAACAUGGGGACCAAGGAAUGAAUAAUGAUGGCAAGAAGUAUCACUUUAUCAAGAGUUCAUAGGAUGGUGGGCAAUUUCUAUGACAUUCUUGAUAUAAAGAUGGUAAUACUCCAAGGUAGAACAGAACCAAAAGCUAGAUUGGCAUUUGAUUUGCGGAUUACAACUGCUUUGACCCAAUCCUGUAUAUGGAUGAGGUACUGGAGUUUGUUUCUCCUAGUCAUUCUAGAAUAGAAUGGCUUGACGAACCACAAGAGUAAUAGGCAUCAAUAACACGAGUGCACGACUACUCCUGACUAUCAAUUGAUAGAUGAAGGUCGGAAUAUAACUGAAGGGGGACAACUCAAAGGAACAUAUAACUUUCUGAGUUGUGGAUGCAUAGAUUAGUAUGUCGAACGUGUUCAACAUAUUUCUUCCGGAUAACCCAUGCAAAAAGGUAGAACUGGCAGAAUCACAAUUAUUGAUGGAGAACUCCUCAGGAGUACUCUAAUGUUGAUCUUUUGGUUCAAAGAACUUCUGCCUUAAUGGUUCAUGGUAUUUGGAAGAAGGAAAUACCACAGACCUCGAGGACUAUCGCAAAGGUUACUAAUAUCCUAAAGGAACUAGCAACAAUAUCAACAGGAAGUGAAUAGAGUGAUUCUUGGGUCAAGAACACAGGAGUAGAACACCUACUACUAAAUGGCAUCAUAGGAUGCUUUCAAGAAUGAUGGCCAGAAUCAUCACACUUGGGAUACGGAAGCAUUGCUAAAUUCUCGAGGACACCUAGGGUCAUAGUACCAACUCCAACAUACACAUCAAGGCAACAAAGUACCUCAACACACCGAUUAGUGUGCUUAAUCUGGCCCAAAAAUACAACGGAAACAUGGAGGAAAGAUUUGCAAGUGCAUCAGACUAUUUAGAAACCUGGGAUGACUCGAAUAGCAUAACAGCUGUAAAUGCUCAAAAUGAUUUGAGACAUCCUGCAAAAUGGUGGCAUAACCACUCAACAUCACAAUAUCAAGGUUCUGAGGCCAGCUAUGAACAUAUGGAAGUAGUAGGAACUAAUCUGAGGCUUGAACUCAACAAUCCUAGGCAACUACGGUUUAGUAACACGUCAUCCUGAGAGAUAGAAGAGAAGCCUAGUUCUUAACCCCAUAGAAAAGAUAAGAUGACUCAGAUCAGAAGGUCGUGAGGACAAGGAGUAAAAAGAGCCUUACGUUCCCAUCCACAAUCAAUUCCCUUAUAUAGCUAAAGCAUUUCUAGACACGACUUCGACCAUCUUGGCAUGGUAAUCCUACAGCCAGUCAGGCUCUGAUACCAAAGCUGUCAGGAUCCCGAUUCCAAGUCACAUCGAUCUAGCCGGUAACACCUCAUUUCACUUUGCGGCCUCACGCACGGUAUUCCCACGUGUGUCGCCUUACCAUGGCUCGGGACCGUUUGCGCCUUUUGGCACGUAUAUGAUAGUGUCGCUAGCAUCCAUAUGACAGAGAACCCGGGCCGAGAUGGCUAGUCGUGAACCCAAAGAGACACCAACCUAUGGGGACAGCCAUACAUGACUCACAUCGAGCAUGUCGGUCAACAGCGUGUGAAUCCAGGCUGUAGCAUUGGGCUAACAGGACUCCGGGAACCUGGGCUAUAGCAGGCUAGGCAGGACUCCGGAUGUCACCGCGUGACAUUUCCCCGAAGGGACAGACACAUGAACGAAGUGAAACACAUGCCGGCCAGUCAAGUGUCCUGAGCAGUAGUGCUGGGCUAGCAGGACUCCGGUGAACCGGGCUGUAGCGGACUACUAUGGCUCAUGGAAGCACAAGACUACAUUUCCCCAUAAGAGAGGCUACCAAGGAUAAACAACUAGGUUGUCGGAUCCCACACAUACCAAGCAUUUCAAUCAUACACACAAUAUGCUCGUGAUGUGUAAAUACAACAUGGCAUCACAACAUAGCUCUACGACUCAAGUAAUUAUUCAUUAGGCUCCGAGGAGCGAGAUAUUACAAACAUGGGUCUCAUGACCCAACAUGCAGAGCAUACAAGCAACAAGCACAUGCGGAAGCUUAACUUGUCUAAGUACAGACAACUACAAAUGAAGAAGGCUGAGAACCUGACUAUCUACCAGAUCCUGCCAAGGGCACAAGAUCGUAGCUGAGGUAUCAAGCUAAACAUCGAAGUCCACAUGGAACUACUAGCGAGACUGAAGUCUCUCUGCAAAAACAUAAAUUAAGCAAACGUGAGUACAAAUGUACCCAACAAGACUUUCAUCAGAACUAGCUACAAAUGCAUCAGUAUCAAGAAAGGGGUGGUGGAGUUUAACUGCAGCAAGCCAGCUUUGAUUCGGUGGCUAUCCUGAACUACGACUGCAAAUAACUCUUUGAGGUGGCGCACACGAGUCCACAUAUUCACCAUAUCAAUACACCACUAUGGAUCCGCUCCCGUCUCCCUACGAGAAUGCCAUCCAUAGCACUCCCGCUUAUCUUGCGCAUUUUAGAGUAUCCACUUUCACUUGUCUAUGAACUAUGCAAGGGGUCCAAGUUUCCAUAUCCGAGGAAUCCGGCUAUUCGAAUAGAUAAUGAUAACCCUACAGGGGUGUACUUCUUCACACACGCUCUCGCCACUUACCACCAUGUACACAUCGUGUAUCUCGGCAACCUUCAAGCGGAAGCCUGGCGAUGGAGUCGGCCACGACCUGACUAACCAACAAGUCUCUAGUCCUGGUUUAUCGCCUAUUUGGGUUCCAUCCGCAAGGAGAUCUGGCUGGGGUGUCUCUCACGGCCCCAAACGAUGUCAGCAGGGUUCCCAAGCCCACCAUCCGGGUGCCACUUGCUACACCGUGCCGCUAUGCCUAGUCUGUCCCAAGCCCACCUGUACCGGGUGCCACUUGGUAGACUACUAACACAACCUACAAACACCAGAAACUAGUUGCAACUCCUGGACAGAGAUCAAGUUGAUUAAUAAGUCGAGAGGGGCACUUAAGCAUUCCAAUGCGUGGUUGUAUCUUUUCAUGGAUCACAAACACAGAACUCAGAUCCUAAGGACGGCUUCAAUGAGACAACCCACCAUGUACUCCUACAUGGCUCUCAACGAUACCUUUACCAAAUCGGGUUCACAAGCUUAGCUCACAACAGUAGGACAUGUUCUCACACCUCUAAUUCAUCCCCGAUGAAUAAGCCCUGACUCAACUCUAAGCAAUAGCAGGCAUGACAAACAAGCAUGAAUGAGUAGGCGCAUCAGGGCUCAAACAAGUCCUACUCAUGCUAGUGGGUUUCAUCUAUUUACUGUGGCAAUGACAGGUCAUGCAGAGGAAAGGGGUUCAACUACCGCAACAUGUAACAGAUGAAACGUUGUUGUCCUAAUGCAGUAAAAGAGAGCAGGAGCGAGAGAGUGGGAUUGUAUCGGAAUGAACAAGGGGUUUUGCUUGCCUGGCACUUCUGAAGAAGUUAGCUCUUCAUCGGUGUCAUCGAACUCAUCGUCGGAAUACGCCUACCGAGAGGGGACAAGCACCGGCAAUAGAGAAGAACACAAUCAAUGCAAAUGCGACAAUAUGAUGCAUGAUCAUGGCAUGUAUAUGUGAUGUUGUUUGUGCCAAUGCAAACAACAAGAAGUUCAAUGGAGCUCAUUUGAAUCAAGGAUUCAAAUGUAACUCCAAACUUACGCAUUUUAAAUGCCCUCUAUGUGUUUUCAUCUAUACAUCAGGUUUAGGUUGGUUUUUCAUGCAUGAAACUAGUACAGAUGGAUAGAUUGAAUUUUUCUGAUAAUUUUUCAUAUAUAAUUUGUUUGAUUUGGAGUUACGGUUGAAUUAUUAUGAAUUUUUGAAGUUUUGGAUAUUUUCUGCAAUUUUCUGAAUUAUUUUAAAUCCAGAAAAUGUUAAGUGCGUCAGCAUUGCGUCACUGUGACAUCAGGUGGUCAACUGGGCGCCUCCAGGUCAAACCUGACCAGUAGGGCCCACUAGUUAGUGACACAUAGUUAGCUACAGAGGCUGACAUGUGGGACCCGGUCAAAGCUGACGUGGCCAAGUCAAAUUUGACAAGAGGGGCCCACUGAAAUUAGUGCUAAUCUAACAGAGAGUUAAACUAAUUAGUUUAGGCACUGGGCCCACAUGUAAGUGGGUCAGGAGCUCAAUUAGUGAGUGAUUAGUGCUUACUAAGUGGCCACGUCAAUAGUCGCCAGAGUCUCGCCGAUGGUGACCUCGAAUCGAGGCGGAGUUUGCUCGGAACUCACCAGAGGCGAUGGAUCGACGCGCCAGGGGCACCAGAGGAUAGCCCGUGCCCGUGCGCAUCUAGGGAGACCAACGGGAGGUGUGGGGGUGGCCGGAGUUCGCCGGAGUGGAACCCGCGGCGGCUGCCGGAGUUCGGGGCUGGUGCAGGUUAGCACUGCGGUGUGCUAACGAGCGAGGCGAAGGUCUAGCGGGGCACUACGCGUUGCGGGGAGCAAGUUGGACUCGCCGAGGUGAUCAUUUGGUCACCGGAGCUGCGCCGACGACGAGCUCAAGCGGCGGCGGCUACGAUCGUUAAGGGGGAGACAUCUACGGCUCGAAAUCAAAGGGGAGGAAGGAGGGGAUCCACGCAGGAGCUCACAGCGGUUCGUUCGGUGGCCUCAGCGAGCUCGGGGAAGCGCCGAAGCGGGCGCACAGUCGCCGGCGAUCUCGGUGGCCCGAGGUUGAAGAAGACGCCGGUGAGGGCGUCCGGCGGCGUCCGGCGUCGCUUGCCUUGGCGAGGAGGUCGAGGACUAGGUAGCCGAGCUAUUGGGCAUGUCGAGGGGUCGAAGGGGAGGCUCUGGGUGCGGCGACGGUGAGCGGUGGCGACGAGCUUCGCUCGGUGGUGCUCGGGAGAGAGGGGAAGACGAGGGAGAGACACGGGAGAGAGGGGGGAAGUGACCAGGGGUUGCGUGGCAUGUUCAAGGCGUCGAGGGAGUGAAGCAGGCAGGAUGGAGGUGGCCUACGCGUGGCCAGGAGGCGGCAAGCACGCGCCCCUGUCCUUCUGUCCAAGGAGGAAGACGACAGGGGGCAGCGGUGGUGGGCUGGGCCGCCAGCUACAGUACUGGUGCCUGUUGGUGGGCGCCAGGUAAGCUUCUGCCAGGUAAGUCCUUCUCUCUCUUCCUAUUUUUCUUUCUGUUUUCUAUUUAUUUUGCUCUGUUUUGAUUUAGUAAUAAAACUAAAACAUUUUUGUUGCUUCUGAAAUUAUUUGUGGAUGCAAUAUGGACUAGCCCAAAGCCCCACAAUAUUUUUCAGAAUGAUAGGAGUUAUAAAAGUAUUUAUAGGAAUUUAUAACCCCAAGUCAAAUACAAUAUGAGUUAAUUCAAAAAUCCAAAAAUGUCCUAGAAAUAUAUUCAUCAUUUUUGGCAGAGGUUUCUACCUUAACCAAAAAUCAUGAACUUUUCUUGAGGCACUUUGGGUUCAUUGAAAAUGUUUUUAAGUUGAACCUAGUUGAGUUCUUUUGGUGCUAGGGAUUGAUCACCCCUAUUUCAAAUUUAGAUAAAAUUUAAGCAUGAUGCAACACCAUAUGCUAGCACUAGGCACCACCAGAACUAGGGUUGUGACAUGAGCGGUGACAACAAGGGGAGGGAGGCAGAGCUUCGGGAUGGUUCCACCAAUUGGGAGACCUUGGCGGGGACAUUCUAUCCCUUCUUCAUCCACAGCGUCUUCGCGGGGCUCGUCCCACCCUUCUCAAGGUUCUUCCUCGCUGUCCUCGACCAUUAUCAGAUCCAUGCUCUACAGCUCCAGCCCAACUCCAUCCUCCUUCUAUCAAUCUUCGCCUUCUACUACGAGGCGUUCGUGGGCAUGACGCCCUCCGUUGCGCUGCUCCUCCACUUUUUCUCCCUUUGGAUACAUGACUUGACCUAGCGCUCCGGAUGCGUCUCCUUCGUCGCACCCCGCGGCGGCAACGCACUCAUGAGGGCCGGGAAGAAGGUGGAGGAAUUCCGGCGCAAAUGGAAUUACAUCAACGCCAGGGGCCUCCACGCUCGGCUGGAGCUACCGACCAGGAUGCCGGAGAAGCUGGACCAGUGGGCCCAUGAGGAGCUCAGUGACCCUCGGGCAGCGCCCGUCCUGAGGCUGUUGCAGGCGAACAUGGACUCUAGGGUGCUGACGAGGGCCAUGAUUGCCAGGGAGUUCCUGACGCUGUGCCUGGCCCCGCUCCAAGCACAUCCGCGCCCCNNNNNNNNNNNNNNNNNNNNNNNNNNNNNNNNNNNNNNNNNNNNNNNNNNNNNNNNNNNNNNNNNNNNNNNNNNNNNNNNNNNNNNNNNNNNNNNNNNNNNNNNNNNNNNNNNNNNNNNNNNNNNNNNNNNNNNNNNNNNNNNNNNNNNNNNNNNNNNNNNNNNNNNNNNNNNNNNNNNNNNNNNNNNNNNNNNNNNNNNNNNNNNNNNNNNNNNNNNNNNNNNNNNNNNNNNNNNNNNNNNNNNNNNNNNNNNNNNNNNNNNNNNNNNNNNNNNNNNNNNNNNNNNNNNNNNNNNNNNNNNNNNNNNNNNNNNNNNNNNNNNNNNNNNNNNNNNNNNNNNNNNNNNNNNCCGGGCAGCCUACCUUUCAUUGUACCGCCACGGCGACAGGGUAGAGGUGGCCGCCGCCAUGCAUGUCUUCAACGAGUUGGGGCUUGUGCCGCCCAAGCUCCCCAACUCCCCGGUGCCUGUGUCCUCCAGCGAGGUCUACAAGGAGAAGGGCGAGGAGGACUCAGAGGCGACCAUGGAAGAGGUUGGGGAGACUUCUCCUGUCAGGACUGGGUUUUCGGGAUAUUAAUUUCCUAGAAAAUGGCCCUUGUGAUCACCAGCCCCAGGAUUACGGUUAGCUGAUGAGACACCAACUUGAUACAGAAAUUCCAAGCAAAAUACAAAAUGUGUAGUACAAGACCAUUCUGGCCUGUGAGUAUAACAAAUGGUUUCUAGUAGUUGAUGGCGGAAGCGGUUUGUGGUUCAUCAGCGUCUAUGGGACUCCAUUUCCCACAGGAACAGCUGACCUGGAUAACUCCUAUCUUCGCGAGGCUGCUAUCACCAUUGCAUAGGUUCUGGGGCUGUCAUCGCAUCGCUCCUCUACAUGCAAGAAAUCUGGCCAAGACAAUAGCCAGGGACAAGCCAGUGAGUACUUUGAGUGUACUCGCAAACAUUAUGAACACAUGUAUAAUAUAACAAAUGUUAAUCAUGCUCUGAAAUAUUUUAUGAUCACAAUGUCAGUCCCAAAAUGAAAAUCCAUGAUGCAAGCAGGUUAUUCAUAUACAACUUAAUAUGCAAUAAGGGAGUAGAAAUAGAAUGCACCGAUCGGCUGUCUCAAGCGACGCCUCGAAAGGAUAAUAAUAUAAAGCAUGCCUUAGUCAGGCGUCUGAGCGACACCACAUAAAGGGCUUAUAAAGGAAAUAAGCAGCAAACAUGCCACAGUCGGGCGUCUGUGCGACACCACAUAAAGGGCUUAUAGAGUAAGAAAAUAACAAGCAUGCCACAGUCGGGCAUCUCAGCGACACCACACAAAGGGCUUAUAUGAGAGUAGUCACUGUGAAUAUCCAGGAGGUAGGACCGUCCCAGGGAUACUCAAUAAUUCAAAUAUUGUAAAUGGUUAGUCCAUAAUAAUAGUAAUCAUAAUCAUCAUAAGUCACAAGUCAUGAUCCAUGCUCUGAUUUAGCAGUUUUUCCUCCGAAGACCGACACUAAGACCGACACUUGACCCAUCCCAGACCGUAGUCCUUAACCAUGGACACGGCUAUUCGAAUAGAUAUAAUCUCUGCAGAGGGUGUACUCUUUACCCACGAGUAAUGGAUUCCUUUAGUCCAUCGGGACUAAUUCCGUCUACGGUCUUUUACUUGAAAACACACCUGACCGCACACACACCAGCCUAACUUACCGGUGUCUGGAAUCACCCACGACACCCGUUAAGCGAAACUAUAAGUGGGGAGGCUACAACCUCGACUAGCAUGGGAUCACAAAAUUUAUAACGCAUGCAAACUAGGGGAGCUACCCCCUCGGCACCAACCGGAAACACCCAUGCCCCCGGACCAAGUGGCAUGCCUACCGGAUGCAGCCGGUAUCUUCCACCAUGGCCUCUCUAUACGGUGUGUGCUAGGAAGGGGUUGACAACUUACUGAACCAUACCCUACCUAGGGCAGGGACAAGUGGUAGUACGAAACAAGUAUGGGGGUUACUGGAACAAGACUCGAUCUAUGGUCGACUCAGGAGGUUAAAGCAUUUCCUGCAUGAUAAGCAUAAGAAAUAUAUCUCACACCAAUCAGACAGAAUCACUACUCAUCAUACCUUACCAUGCCUUACCAGACAUAAUCGUCUCGACGAAGAACUAGAGACAAGCUCGUGUCUACACAAGACAGAGACUUUCCCGGAUUCCUUCCAGUAGGCAUGAAAGGCAUACGAGGGUGAUUACUAUCACAAGCAUAUUAAAUUCCAACAACACGGAAUCAUCAAUAUGCACUCAUGAGUAUGAUCAUAUCAACACACAAAAUAACGAAUACUCCGAGUCAAGGUGGUGUUGUAACCGUAUCAAACAACACACAACAAUAUUAUGCUAGGGUUCAAAAUGAUUGCCUUCAAGAGUAUGCAAGUGGGGUGCAUUUUUUGAAAGUUGCCUCCCUCUCCAAAAUCCUAUUUAAGAAAAAUUCAAAUUAACACAUAGUUUCAAAACAGUACAAAAAAGUUGUUUGAAUUUUUUCAAAUAAAUAUGAAAAUAAACUUGUAGCGACCAGACCUCAAACAGUCUGAUCUCUGUGCUCCGGUGUCAUCCCUGGAUUAGUAAUGCUGACACCACACAUUACUCGGAGGAUUUAUAGCAGAGUAGCAAUCACACACUUAUUACAUCGACUGUCUCAAAAGAUAUCUUAUUACAAUAAAUAUGGCUUAAGGCCAUCUAAUAACGAUAACAACGGAUGGCUUGGAAGAUAAGUGAGUCCAUCAACUCCAACGGCAUCACUGAGUAUAGAACCACGACCUAAAAACUCCUUAAUCGUUGUCUGAAAAGUCUGCAACAUUAACGUUGCAGCCCGAAAACGGGUCAGCACAUGGAAUAUGCUGGCAAUGUAACACAUAGAGAGUAAUGGAAUGAAACAGCUAUACUAUAUGCAUAUUUGGCUGGUGGAAAGCUCUAUGGUUACAGUAGCAAAAACUUGUUUAAGUUGGUUAAACAGAUAGAGGGUUUUGAGACGAAUCCCUAGGCGCUUGAAUCGCAUGAUUCCAAUAAACGAGCGAAAAGUUAAACUAAAACGAAAAUUAGAUUAGGAAUCGCGAUCAGAAAAAACGCGGAUUUAAUCCGAGAAAAAGAAAAACGACAAAUGCCGACCUUUUUUUUUUUCUUUUCUUUCUUUUUUUCGGCACGGAAAACGAGGCGCGACGAACCUCGGCGGCGAGAUCCGGCGGCGGCGGCGGCUUCUUAGGGCGGCGGCGGCUUAGGGCGCUUUAGGGUUUCCCCCGGGGUCGGGCCUCGGCUUAUAAAGGCCUCCCGGUCGGUGUCCAGGUCGGAUACGGCCCGUUAAGUCGGUUCGUUUUUUUAAUUAUUCCGAUUGGAAGAAAAAUAAAAAGAAAUACUAAACAUACUCCAAAAAUUCCGAAAUAAAUUUUCACAAGCCGCACAAGGUGAGCAUUUAUUUGGGAACUAAAUGCAAUUUUGAAAAACGCACUUUUUUCCUAACUUCAAAUAAAACACCGAAAAACUCCGAAAUAAAAUCUUAUUUGAUUUUAUUAUUAAAUCCUCAAUAUUUCUUUAUUUUGGGAAAUUCAUUUUAUUCCCUCUCUCAUAUUUUUGUAAUAGAAAUAAUUGACAAUAAAAUAAAUAAAAUUAAAUGAUCAUAUUCUCAAAAUUUGAGAAAACUCAAAUAUGAAAAUAACGAAAUCCCCAACUCUCUCCGUGGGUCAUUGUGUUGCGUAGAAUUUCUAGGAUCAACCAAAUGCAAAAUAAAAUAUGAUAUGCAGUGAUGAUCUAAUGUAUAACAUUCCAAAUUGAAAAUUUGGGAUGUUACAAACCUACCCCCCUUAAGAUGAAUCUCGCCCUCGAGAUUCGGGUUGGCUAGAAAAUAGGUGAGGGUGGUCUUUGAGCAAAUCUUCCUCUCGUUCCCAGGUGGCUUCAUCCUCUGUGUGGUGACUCCACUGAACUUUGCAAAACUUGAUAACCUUGCUGCGGGUAACUCGGUUGGCAAACUCGAGAAUCUUAAUUGGUUUCUCCUCGUAGGUCAAAUCAUUAUCCAACUGAAUAGUUUCCAAAGGCACUGUAUCUCUCAACGGUAUGUCAGCCAUCUCCGCGUGACAUUUCUUUAAUUGAGAAACGUGGAACACAUCAUGUACUCCUGACAAUCCUUCAGCCAAUUCCAACUUGUAGGCCACUUCUCCCAUACGUUCCAAAACUCGAUAUGGUCCUACAAUUCAUGGCGCUAACUUCCCUUUAACUCCAAAAUGCUUUGUUCCCCGAAGCGGUGAUACUCGAAGAUAAGCUCUAUCUACAACUUCGUAAACUGUCUCCUUGCGUUUAGAAUCCGCAUAACUCUUCUGUCUGGACUGGGCUACCUUGAGCCUAUCGCGAAUCAACUUCACCUUCUGUUCAGACUCUUUAAUCAAGUCAGGUCCAAACAACUGGCGGUCUCCAAGUUCGUCCCAUGACAGCGGUGUCCUGCACCUCCUUCUGUACAAAGCUUCGAAAGGGGCCAUCUUCAAACUGGUUUGGUAACUGUUGUUGUAAGAGAACUCUGCAUAUGGAAAAUUAUCGUCCCAACUAGAUCCAUAAUCUAGUGCACAAGCUCUCAGCAUAUCCUCCAAAAUCUGAUUGACUCUCUCGGUCUGUCCAUCUGUCUGUGGAUGAAAAGCUAUACUGAAUUCUAGCCUGGUACCCAAUGUUUCGUGCAACUACUUCUAGAACUUUGAGGUAAACUGGGUUCCUCUAUCUGAUACGGUACUCCUUGGAACUCCAUGCAACAUACGAUCCUGGUCAUGUAUAUCUUUGCCAACUUAGCACUGGUGUAAGUGGUCUUUACUGGGAUGAAAUGAGCUACUUUCGUCAAUCGAUCGACUAUAACCCAAAUCGAGUCAUAGCCUGAACGAGUCCUGGGCAAUCCCAUGAUAAAAUCCAUGCCUAGCUUAUCCCACUUCCAUUCGGGUAUCAGCAAUGGUUGUAACAAUCCUGCUGGCUUCUGAUGCUCUGCCUUUACUCUCUGGCAUACCUCACAAACAGCUACAUACUCCGCAAUAUCCUUCUUCAUUCCGGUCCACCAGAAAAUAUCCUUCAAAUCCAAAUACAUCUUGGUAUUUCCUGGGUGAAUUAAAUACGGUGAGUCAUGUGCCUCUUGCAGUAUCAACUUCUUGAUCUCCGGGUCAUUGGGCACGUAAACGCGGUCUUCAAACCAUAGGGUGUCAUGCUCAUCCUCACGAAAUCCUUUAGCUUUUCCUUUGCUCAGUUUCUCCUUUAUAGCGGCAAUCUCUUUGUCAGCUUUCUGAGCUUCUCUGAUUCUAUCCAUCAAAGUUGACUAAAUCUCCAAUGCUGCUACAUAGCCUCUCGGAACUAUUUCCAAACAUAGUUCACGAAGAUUUUCUGCUAACUCCGUGGGUAUUUCUCCCAUCAUUAAUGUAUUGACGUGGCUCUUAUGGCUUAAUGCGUCAGCUACUACAUUAGCCUUUCCGGGAUGAUAAUGCAAUUUCAUAUCAUAAUUCUUGAUAAGCUCCAACCAUCUCCUUUGUAUGAGAUUCAACUCCUUCUGUGUGAAAAUGUACUUCAAACUCUUAUGAUCCGUGUACACCUCACAAUGAUUUCCAAUGAGAAAAUGUCUCCAUGUUUGCAAUGCAUGCACUACGGCUGCUAACUCCAAAUCAUGUGUGGCAUAAUUCAACUCAUGAGGCUUUAGUUGUCUUGAGGCAUAUGAAACAACUCUCCCUUCCUACAUAAGCACUGCUCCAAGUCCUCGACGUGAAGCGUCGCAAUACACCUCAUAAUCCUUGGUCUGGUCUGGCAAGAUCAAUACUGGUGAGGUAACCAAGCAUUUCUUCAACUCCUGGAAACUAGCCUCACAUUCCUCUAUCCAUAUGAACUUGGUAUCCUUCUUCAACAACUCAGUCAUAGGCUUCGCAAUCUUUUAGAAAUUCUCAAUAAAUCUUUGGUAGUAUCCUGCGAGUCCAAGAAAACUCCGGAUCUCUCCAACUAUUGUUGGGGCUUCCCACUUGGUCAUAGUUUCAACUUUAGCGGGAUCUACUGCUAUACCUUCUCCAGAUAUAACGUGUCCGAGGAAUCCUACUUCCUUCAACCAAAACUCACAUUUGCUGAACUUGGCAUAUAAUUGAUGUUCUCUAAGCUUUCCAAGUACCAAACACAAAUGCUCCUUAUGUUCCUCUUCAUUCUUCGAAUAAACCAGGAUAUCAUCAAUGAACACUACGACGAACUUAUCCAAAAACUCCAUAAACACUUUGUUCAUCAUGGUCAUAAAAUAGGCAGGUGCGUUAGUCAAACCAAAUGACAUAACGGUAUACUCAUACAGCCCAUACCUGGUGGUAAAAGCUGUCUUAGGAAUAUCCUGUUCUCGAAUCUUCAACUGGUGGUAUCCUAAUCGCAGAUCGAUCUUGGAAAAUACCUUAGCUCCUUGCAAUCGAUCAAACAGAUCGUUGAUCAUUGGUAGUGGGUACUUGUUCUUGAUCGUUACUUCAUUCAAUCCUCGAUAAUCAACAACCCUCCUUAACGAUCCAUCCUUCUUCUCCACUAGAAGUACUAACGAUCCCCAAGGCGAAGAACUUGGGCGAAUAUAUCCUUUAUCCAGUAACUCCUUAAUCUGCUUCUUAAUUUCCACCAAAUCCUUUGCUGGCAUCCUAUAUGGUCUCUUUGAUAUUGGCCCUGUGCCUGGCGAUAGCUCAAUCAAAAACUCAAUAUCUCUAUCCGGUGGCAUGCCUGGCAACUCCUCUGGAAAUACAUCAGGGAAAUCCCUUACCACUGGUACUUCCUCCUGCACAACUCCUGUUAGGAAAUUUACUUGAGUCCUCUUUGGCACAUGCCGGGAUACAUACUUGAUCCUUCUCCCUUCUGGGGUGGUAAGCAAAAUUGACUUACUAGCACAUUCUAUAUUCCCUUCAUACUUUGAUAACCAAUCCAUGCCUAAUAUCACAUCCAAUCCUUGAGAUUCCAAUACUAUUAGGUCUGAGGGAAAAACAUGGUUACCAAUCCUUAAUGGUAACUGAUCACACCAUCGACUAGCCAUAUAUUCUGCUCCGGGCGAGGUUACUAACAUGGGUGACCUAAGGGCUUGGGUUGGUAGGUUAUACUUAUCCACAAAUACCCUUGAGAUGUAUGAAUGCGAUGCACCAGUAUCAAAAAGAACGAGUGCAGUAAAUGACUUAACCAAAAACUUACCUAUUACUGCAUCGGGCUGAGCUUCAACCUCCUCCAUGCUAACGUGGUUCACCUGUACCCUGUUAAAAGGGUUCGGCUUCUUCCCAGAACUUCCAUUGCUAUUUCCAUUUUGCAAUUCAGGACAUUCAUUUGCAUAAUGUCCUGUCUUCGAACACUUAAAGCAAGUGACUUGGCUUAAGUCCUUCUUGGCUGGGGUUGAGGGGUUGGUGCGAUUCUGGCCGUUGCUUCCUCCAUUGCCAUUACCAUUCUUGGUGCCAUUGUGAUUGUGCGAGCUACCUCCUCCAUGGGUAUGCUGAAAAUGUCCUCCCAGUCUAGGGGUAAAAUGUGGCUUCUGCUGAGCUCCUGAAUUGUACUUUCCUUGUCCAUACUUCCUCUUGCGAUUCUCAAUCUGCUGCUGCUUCCCUUCAAUCAUAAGAGCACGAUCUACCAACUCCUGGUAGUUGUUGAAGGUUGCUACCAUCAACUGCAUGCUCAACUCAUCAUUCAGUCCUUCCAGAAACUUCUCCUGCUUAGCUGCAUCCGUAGCGACGUCAUCUGGGGCAUAACGUGCUAGCUUACUAAAUUCCUCCGCAUACUGGCCAACUGUCCUUCCUCCUUGGCGCAAGUUGCGAAACUCAUGCUUCUUCAUGGCCAUAGCUCCUGCUGAAACAUGUGCAGUACGAAAAGCUUGCUGAAACUGGUCCCACGUGACAGUGUCUACAGGGAAAGUGGCUGUGAAAUUCACCCACCAUGAUGCUGCGGGUCCUUCUAACUGAUGUGCGGCAAACUUCACCUUCUCUGCAUCUGUGCAUCUUGCUGUAGUCAACUCCCUAGCUGUCUUGCGGAGCCAAUCAUCUGCUACUAUCAGCUCGGUGCUACUGGAAAACAUCGGCGGAUUCAGCCUAAGAAAACAGGCUAAGUGGUCAACAAGUGGUGGUGGUGGUGGUGGGUUGUUGUUGUUGCUCCCCUGAUUCUGAUUCUGGACUAGCAAGUGCAUCAAUGUGUUUUGCUGCUGGAUCAACUGGGUGAGCUCCGGUGGAAAGGCAAAUCCGCGGUCACGUCUCGGAGGCAUCUGAGGGUUUAGAAAAGAUGAGAUAUAAGAAUAAAGGGGGUCUAAAGAGAAAACACUACCCAUAUGCACAUGAGGCAAAACAAACAAUUCACUUCAAUCAAUCAAACAAGGGCAUACAAUCGAUCUAUCUAUCGCAAAAGUGCUCGGACUACUAUAUUCACAUGGUGGACUACUACUACUGAUGAGGUGGUCUACUAGAAAUAUUCUUCGAUUGCAGACUCCAUGAUAUCUGCUCCAGCUUCAUCAACAUAGUCAUCAUCGCUACUAUCUGCUUCCGAGUCGGUGCCGUCGAUGAUGAUGUAGUCUUCCGGGCUAAUCUCCUGGGGUUCUUCGUCUUCAUCUACUGGCAUAGGGCCUCCCAUAAAUAUUCCAAUCUUCUUGAUCAGGUCGUCAUUCUUCUCCACCAAUACUUCAAUUUCCUCUUCAUAAUCUUCACGUGUAGCCUUGAGUUCUUCCUCCAGUUCCUUGAUUCUAGUCUUUGCCUUCUUCAGGUCUAUCAUGUCGGCGCACAUCUGGUUCUCCUGUCGUCGAAUGUGCUGGUUUAGCUCCUGGAUAAAAGCUGCGAUUGAUCUAUCCUUCCUGGUGCUGAUCAUCUCCCAGUGUUCAUCUCGGCGCCCACAAAUCUGGUAGAUAGUAUCCUUGAGAUCCUUGCGGUAGACUUCUCCAAUGCGUCCCAUGGCGAUGUGAGCUGCCAUGCUCUUUCCUAGACUCCAAGUUGGUGCAUCAAAAGAAAACUCUAUGGGCUCAGUGACUGGCAUGAACAUCCUUCCUGCAACUUGAACUUGAAUCAUCCAGUGCUCUUCUUCAGGUAAAGUGGCGUUGUAGGUUCCGGUGAAGCUUGGUACUCCUAUCAUGGAUAUCAAAGGAAUAGAUUUAAUUACCUACAUGCCCUACAUCUGCUAGUCUACCACUGUAAGAGUUUGCACAACUUAGUCAACUAUGCUAGAGCCCAUAAUAGCUUGUGGCUGCACACGGAAGUUUCUAGUAUGAAUAGUCUCAUGAUCCCUCUGAGCCUGGGUGGCGGUCCAAAAGAAAACAGGCAAGUCAUGGAAUACCCAGGUGCCUCAAUCCACCCAGAUGUGUGUUUAAGUUGCCACCUUAGAUAAACCAUUAAUUUAACAAUCUCACAUCUGUCAUGGAUAUCACUCAAACAAUCCACGUCUACUAGCAUAGCAUGGCAUAAUAAGCAAACGUAGAAGUAACUCCCAAAGGUUUGAUAAUAAACAGGUAAUAGGUACUACCUCAUCUACUUCCCAUCCCACAAUUUAAUUAGAUCCUAAUCAUGCAAUGUGUGAGGAUUGAUCUAAUGCAAUAAAACUGGGUAGUAGAAAAUGUAUGAUCAAAGUGUUACUUGCCUUGCUGAUGAUCUGCGAAACCUAACGAUUCGAAGUAACAAGCGACGCACUCCGGGUAUUCUAUCACAGACAAAUAAACAAGCAUACAAUAAGUACUCAUCUAAUGCACAGGUAAAACUCAAAUAAGAGAUCUAACCAGAAGGUUCAACUUAAGAACUCCGGUUGGCAAAAAGAAUCAAAUCGAACGAAGCAACGGAAAUCAAACGGCGAAAGAAAACAACUUCGUUCUAGUAAUCUGGAUCUAGGGCAAAUUUUACAGUAGCAAAAACUUGUUUAAGUUGGUUAAACAGAUAGAGGGUUUUGAGACGAAUCCCUAGGCGCUUGAAUUGCAUGAUUCUGAUAAACGAGCGAAAAGUUAAACUAAAACGAAAAUCAGAUUAGGAAUCGCGAUCAGAAAAAACGCGGAUUUAAUCCAAGAAAAAGUAAAACGACGAAUGCCGACCUUUUUUUUCUUUUUUUUAUUUUUUUUCGGCACGGAAAACGAGGCGCGACGAACCUCGGCAGCGAGAUCCGGCGGCGGCGGACGUCGGCGGCGGCGGCGGCUUCUUAGGGCGGCGGCGGCUUAGGGCGCUUUAGGGUUUCCCCCGGGGCCAGGCCUCGGCUUAUAUAAAGGCCUCCCGGUCGGUGUCCAGGUCGGACACGGCCCGUUAAGUCGGUUCGUUUUUUUAAUUAUUCCGAUCAGAAGAAAAAUAAAAAGAAAUACUAAACGGAUUCCUUCCAGUAGGCAUGAAAGGCAUACGAGGGUGAUUACUAUCACAAGCAUAUUAAAUUCCAGCAACACGGAAUCAUCAAUAUGCACUCAUGAGUAUGAUCAUAUCAACACACAAAAUAACGAAUACUCCGAGUCAAGGUGGUGUUGUAACCGUAUCAAACAACACACAACAAUAUUAUGCUAGGGUUCAAAAUGAUUGCCUUCAAGAGUAUGCAAGUGGGGUGCAUUUUUUGAAAGUUGCCUCCCUCUCCAAAAUCCUAUUUAAGAAAAAUUCAAAUUAACACAUAGUUUCAAAACAGUACAAAAAAGUUGUUUGAAUUUUUUUCAAAUAAAUAUGAAAAUAAACUUGUAGCGACCAGACCUCAAACAGUCUGAUCUCUGUGCUCCAGUGUCAUCCCUGGAUUAGUAAUGCUGACACCACACAUUACUCGGAGGAUUUAUAGCAGAGUAGCAAUCACACACUUAUUACAUCGAGUGUCUCAAAAGAUAUCUUAUUACAAUAAAUAUGGCUUAAGGCCAUCUAAUAACGAUAACAACGGAUGGCUUGGAAGAUAAGUGAGUCCAUCAACUCCAACGGCAUCACUUAGUAUAGAACCAUGACCUAAAAACUCCUUAAUCGUUGUCUGAAAAGUCUGCAACAUUAACGUUGCAGCCCGAAAAUGGGUCAGCACAUGGAAUAUGCUGGCAAUGUAACACAUAGAGAGUAAUGGAAUGAAACAGCUAUACUAUAUGCAUAUUUGGUUGGUGGAAAGCUCUAUGGUUACAGUUUUGCGUAAAUCCAAUUUUUCCCUACUUCAAAGGAAUAGAUUUAAUUACUAUCAUGGUGGUUGUCAAACAUUGAGAAUGGUUGACAGCAUCCUCAAUCCAAAAAUUAAGCAUCAUCAUUAAACAUAACCCAACAUAAUUAAUUUAGAGUAACAUGUUGAGAUUCACAUGAAAAUCCAAGUACUAGAUACUCAAGAUGUCCAUAACCGGGGACACGGCUAACCAUGAUUAGUUUAUUACACUCUGCAGAGGUUUGCACACUUUUCCCCACAAGACUCGAUCACCUCUGUUUGGUUUCUCGCACUACAUGGUGUUUGAGAAGACGGAUGACUGAGACAUAGUCUUUCAGAAGCGCCAGCACCUUACGAUCGGGUAGACUGUACCACCUACAUCCCCUACAUCUACUAGUCUACCACUGUAAGAGUUUGCACUACUUAGUCAACUAUGCUAGAGCCCAUAAUAGCUUGUGGCUGCACACGGAAGUUUCUAGUAUGAAUAGUCUCAUGAUCCCUCUGAGCCUGGGUGGCGGUCCAAAAGAAAACAUGCAAGUCAUGGAAUACCCAGGUGCCUCAAUCCACCCAGAUGUGUGUUUAAGUUGCCACCUUAGAUAAACCAUUAAUUUAACAAUCUCACAUCUGUCAUGGAUAUCACUCACACAAUCCACGUCUACUAGCAUAGCAUGGCAUAAUAAGCAAACGUAGAAGUAACUCCCAAAGGUUUGAUAAUAAACAGGUAAUAGGUACUACCUCAUCUACUUCCCAUCCCACAAUUUAAUUAGAUCCUAAUCAUGCAAUGUGUGAGGAUUGAUCUAAUGCAAUAAAACUGGGUAGUAGAAAAGGUAUGAUCAAAGUGUUACUUGCCUUGCUGAUGAUCCGCGAAACCUAACGAUUCGAAGUAACAGGCGGCGCACUCCGGGUAUUCUAUCGCAGACAAACAAACAAGCAUACAAUAAGUACUCAUCUAAUGCACAGGUAAAACUCAAAUAAGAGAUCUAACCAGAAGGUUCAACUUAAGAACCCCGAUUGGCAAAAAGAAUCAAAUCGAAUGAAGCAACAAAAAUCAAACAACGAAAGAAAACAACUUCGUUCUAGUAAUCUGGAUCCAGGGCAAAUUUUACAGUAGCAAAAACUUGUUUACAUUGGUUAAACUGAUAGAGGGUUUCGAGACGAAUCCCUAGGCGCUUGAAUCGCCUGAUUCCGAUAAACGAGCGAAAAGUUAAACUAAAACGAAAAUCGGAUCAGGAAUCGCGAUUAGAAAAAUCGCGGAUUUAAUCCGAGAAAAAGAAAAACGACAAACGCCGACCUUUUUUUCUUUUUCCUUUUUAUUCGGCACGGAAAACGAGGCGCGACGAACCUCGGGGGCUAGAUCCGUCGGCGGCGGCGGACGUCGGCGGCGGCGGCGGCUUCUUAGGGCGGCGGCUUAGGGCGCUUUAGGGUUUCCCCCGGGGCUGGGCCUCGGCUUAUAAAGGCCUCCCGGUCGGUGUCCAGGUCGGACACGGCCCGUUAAGUCGGUUCGUUUUUUUAAUUAUUCCGCUCGGAAGAAAAAUAAAAAGAAAUACUAAACGGACUCCAAAAAUUCCAAAAUAAAUUUUCGCGGGCUUCUAAAGACAAGCCACACAAGGUGAACAUUUAUUUGGGACCUAAAUGCAAUUUUGAAAAACACACUUUUUUCCUAAAUUCAAAUAAAACACCGAAAAACUCCGAAAUAAAAUCUUAUUUGAUUUUAUUAUUAAAUCCUCAAUAUUUCUUUAUUUUGGGAAAGUCAUUUUAUUCCCUCUCUCAUAUAUUUGUAAUAGAAAUAAUUGAUGAAAAAAUAAAUAAAAUCAAAUGGUCCUAUUCUCCAAAUUUGAGAAAACUCAAAUAUGAAAAUAAGGAAAUCCCCAACUCUCUCCGUGGGUCAUUGAGUUGCGUAGAAUUUCUAGGAUCAACCAAAUGCAAAAUAAAAUAUGAUAUGCAGUGAUGAUCUAAUGUAUAACAUUCCAAAUUGAAAAUUUGGGAUGUUACAAAACUAGACAAAAUUUGUGAAACAAUAGAAAAAGAAUCAAAUCAAUUGGACUUGUAUUUAAAAAGUUAUAGCCAGUAAAAGUUUAGUCAAAAAUCUAUUUUUAAUUUAAAACGGAAAAAGAAAACGGUUCGGCAGCACUUACGUUUUCCUCUAGCGAAGGCAUAGUUGGUGGAAUACGCUUCUACUUAAAACACGAUUCGACGGGGCUAGGUCACUGACAGUGGGUCCACCGGGCCCACUGGUCAGGUUGGACCAGUCGCCCGCGCCUCCAUCCUCCUCUGUCCGAGCGGAGGCGAGCCUCCGGCGAUUGCCGUCGACGAACGGCGGCUCUCCACGGGAUUCCGAGGGCAGGGAUGGAUCCGCCAAUCCAUGGCGGUCCUCCGAGUGGUCGAGAGGGUCGUGGGGACAAAGGGGGUCGCUGGCGGCGAGCUCCGCGGCGGACGGUGGCUUCAGGUGGAUCAGGGUCUCUAGCCACGGUGGCUCUCGACCGGGUUUGAGAGGUGGGGUGGCUCCGCAAGGUCUAGGGGAGUCGGACGGUGGCACUGGAUGGACGGGGGAGGCUAUGCUCACGAUUCACGGCAUCGGAGUGUGGUGGCGGCCGAACUGGCCGGAAAUGGGGAAGAAGGCCUCCCUCCGUUGAUUGUCGGCUGUGGGGGCUCUAGAGGGAUGGCCUGAGGUCGCCUGAAGGUCUGGAUGAGCUCAGGGGCUCCUUUUAUAGGCGGUCAAGGUCGGUUCCGCGGCGGCCGGGGAUAAGAUCGACGGUGAGCUGCUACUUUGGCCAUAGAUGACGUGGUGAUGCAGGGGGUGGCUUGGAGGAGUGACUGGAUGAGCUCGAGCUGUUCAGGGGCGAGCUGGCGCACAGUUGUGGCUCGGGCGGCGCCGUCCAUGGCAGAGGCUGGCGGAGCGCCGGUGGCGGCUUGCUGUGGUGGCGCUGUGGGAUGUCAGGAGGUGGCCAGGGCGGCUCUGCGAUGAGGGAGGGGUCGGGGUGCGAUGGCUGUGAGUGGGAAGGGAUCAGAACGGGUGCGGGGAGGCGGCAGCGGGCUGCGGCGACUCGGGCACACGCACGUGCAAAACAUGCGCUCUGGCCACGCCCAGAGCACGCACGCCAUGUGUUCGGCAAAAUGCCAAGGCAUGCCAGGAGGCUUGGAUGAGGCUAGGGAUUAACAGGUCUAGGUUAGUGGUGGCUACGAGAUUAGUGGACAUGCUGGUUAGGCAAAGCAAGCAGGUCCAACGUGCAAACUAAAAACUAUGUCAAAUUUGGCCGCGCACACAAGGUGCUUGACAGAAUGCCAUGGGCUUCUAGGCAUCUCUUCUGGUGGCCAAAAACUCCAGAUCGUAGUCUCUUUAGAUGAUAAAGAGGGUGGCAACGUUAGUUUGAAAAAAACAAAAACUCCCUAGUGCAAGUUUUUGAGAAAACCAAAUCUAGACAGAAAGUAAAGGGCAUUAUUGCAUGGACCAAAAAUACUCCAAUGGGUCCAAUCUCCUGGACUUAAGGGUUUGGUAGAGUGUACUUCAAGCAGGACAAAGCCCAAGGCAACAAGAGCAAGAUAAAAUAUGGUUGCAGUAGAAAUUACCAAACUGGACCAGAGAUCAAAAGACGAUGAUUUGCUCAAAUUUUUCAAAGAACUCCAAUGGGUUUUUGCAUAAAGUUGAAUUAUAUACUCCUACUAACAUCUUGCAACUUUGGUGGAAUUUUUAAAGAAAUAUUUAAAUACAAACUGAUCCAGAUUUGAAAACUUGAGGUAGGGCUCAAAAUUUCCAAAUGACUAAAAGAGAUUUUUGCAUAAAAGUGAUGUGGGAACAUCACAUGAGAUCCCCAAAUUUUGGUGGGGAUUUUAAAGAAGUAUUUGAAAGGGUUGUAGUGCAAAUGGAACCCUAAAACUUAUGAAAAAUCAUUUUUAAAGAAAUAAAGCUCAGGGAAAAUAAUUGUAGAAAUAAUUCCACUGAUAAAAAGAAAUGGUCUUAGGACGAUAUACAAGUCCAACAAUAUUUUUGAAAGGAUUCCACUUGGCGUGAAAACUCCACAAUUUAGGAGAAAAGAGUGGUUCUAAAUUAAAAGAAAAUCCAGAAAAUAAAAAAUUAAUUUACCAUGGUGAAAUUUUAAUUAAUAAAUCAUGGUUAAAUUUUUGGGGUGUUAGAACACUACCCCCCUUAAGAAAAAUCUCGUCCUCGAGAUUUGCUAGGGGCUGUUUUGAAAAAGAAUUACUCAUACUAUCUCAUAGUAAAAUCAUAAAAAUAACCAUCCUACCCAUGCAAUAAAAUGUUGCUAUAGUGAAAGGGUAAAUAAGUGGUGUAAAACUACAAUGUGGAAUACUGGCGCUGCGUGGACAAAUCCAUGGUUGGGGGAAAACGAGAAAUUUCUACUUUUGGUUACAGUGAAUUUAGAAUAAAUUUCUAAAUUUCUAAAAUAUGUUGGUCGCACCCGAGAGCACAGUGCUCUUUCUGGCUAACAGAUGGACCAGGGGCCCAUUGUCAGACUCUUCUUCUACCUUUGGCUCUCUCUUCUUCCUCUCUCUCGUGCACUUUCCCGCGCUUUCUCCACCGGCGACGUCUAGCGCGUAGGGCAUCUAGGCCGUACUACGGUACUGCGCGGCGCGCUAGCUGCUGGUGCAACGUUCACUCACCUCGCGAGCCAGUGUGCUGUCGGCACUGCUCGCAGAUUCGCCUCCGAACACCGGCGAUCGAGCGACGAGCGGUGCUGGUGGACUUUGCCCACCAUACACCGAUCUCGAGCUAUAAAAUGACUGAGGUGCUCCUUCCUUCUUCCUCAUACCUGGCCUCGCUCCUCCUUCUCCUUCCUUCUUCUGCAUUUCUGUUUGCAGGAGCUCGAUACUAGGCUCUAAUGGCGGAGGUGAUGCUGGACUGGUACAUGAUCCUGGUGUGCGGAGGGUUGGCAACAUUUGCUGGGGUUCUCCGUGCUCUUGUGCGCGAUGAUCCUCGAUGAUCGUCGUGAUGCUGCUGCUCGAGUGUUAGCUCUCCGCGGUGGCGGUGAUCAUGAGGAUUAGGUGCCGGUGUCGUAUGCUAACUGUUGUUAGUGUGCUCUAGGCAACUUGCACCUGAAUAAUUACCUACAAAUCUCUCCUUCAGAGACUGUGGUGUGCAGGGGGGGGGUGAUCAGUUAGGUGCAACACGUACACGUGGAUUUCCAAUUAGUGCACGUGGUCGAGUGGUUGGGGUUGUGAGUCUGUUGUCGUGGUGCUGCGUGAAUAAAAAUCUAUGUCAUGAAGAGACAUAUGUUGUAACAACUCAGGAAAAAAAUCUCACUUCAGAAAUUACUGAGAGUGAAAUUAGUUAAUAAAAAUUAACAGCAGUAAAAACUACUCACAUUAAUUGAAACCAAAUAUUUAAUUCAUCGCACAAAUUUAGGAUACCACACAUAAGUUGCAACACAUAAAUAAAUGUUGGGACAAUAAUCAUAGCAGUGACGUCUACAAUGAAAAUGGUAAAUAGACAGGGUCUUGAGAAAACGUCUUUGGUACUGGGGCACACUCCUCUUCUAUCGGGGGAAGCAGAUUGACUAGAUGAUGAAUGCGUCUCUCCUGGUCGGGCCUUAGUGGUCUGCCAAUAGCGAUCUGAGGGUUUAAAUCAGCGAGGAUCUGGAGAUAGCCCAUUACCCACUGGGUCAAACGCUCUUGAGCGAUGACAUACUGGGCAAGGUUGGCCAGCACUGGGUCUCUCUCAAUUCGUCCGCCAGGAAAAGAUGCUACUUCUCCGGGUGCUGCAUGACUCGGAAAGUAAUAAUACCCUCGUUUGCUGGCAUAGGGCACCGCAAAUCGAAGGCGAGCAAGCGCUUCGUACGCAGCAGCCUCUAUGGCCAUUUGCGGAGUCGGCAUAGAUUUUCCCACGAAGGAGACUUCUGUUGGGUCUUGGUUUGGGUUUGCGGGAGGGAUGUGCACCACUGCCCAAUAUUUCGAGGUGGAAGGGGUGAUCCUCGAUUUGAGCAACUUGUACUGGGGUGGAUGGGUAGAACUCAUUGCACUGCAGGUAAAGUCCCACAAUAUUUUAACAAAACUACCUGGGGUUGCAUCUGGAGUUCUCAGAUAGAUACUAGGGCUCGGCAUGGCAAAGGAAUGGUUGUGAGAGCUGUGCACGAGGAAAGGGAUGCUUGGUAAGGUGACGAGGUGGCCUUUUAUAUAGCAUCUGGGCUGGGUCAUUUAUCACGGUGAGGGGCAACUAGUUUGUCGGUUCUACUCUUAUGGGGUCAGGUCAAUGCCACAGAUACACAUAUCUCACAAAAGCGAUGCAUUACUGUGAGUGUCAUCGGGGUGGUUUUUGGUAGCUACGCCCGGAAUUAAAAUGCAGCCGUACACCAACAUACUUAUGUAUGGUUACUAUAAAGUAGGGGCAUACAAACAGACAACAUAUAACUAUGGCGGUACAAGAUCACACAAUUACAGGGCGUGGACAUACUAACACUCAGUACUACUCGAGUGACUUAGUCUACCUCGUUUAUAUCUAAGCGGGCGUGCCUUAUGGACGUCGAGGCUUCUCCAUGGGUUUCACCGUCGAGGUUAGCUGGAUGGAGUUGAGGGGCUGCAGGGUCGGGGUAGCGAUGAUGACCAUCGCGGGGGUUGUUGGCCACAAUCCCAUUGGAGCGUGUUCACAAAAGGCGACAAAGCACUUCUGGGGACACCAAAGCAUUUUGGUCGAUGGCUGGGGCAGGCCUCAAGGACUCGAUCGGUUGUCCGAACAACACGACUAGGUUGUCGGCGUCGGGCUCAUCUUCUCCUCUUGCCGGGGCUUGGCGAACUAGUUCUCCACGGGCUGCGAUCAGGUCAAGGGUGAUUUAAUCGAACAGUUCCUCUGGUGCACUUACAUAGCGCACCAGAUGCAACAAUGCAGGAUCCGUCUCGUGAUCUCCGUUGGCAACCUGGGGUGGCCUACCAUACCCGUCAUGGCUUGGGUAGUAGUAGAAUGAGCGGCAGUUAACUCUGGGCGAUAAGUGCCGGAGUUGAACUAUAGCCUGUCGAGCAGCUAGUUGUAUGGCUUGUGGCUCAAAGGAAGUUGUCCUUCCGGUGAACCUGUAGGGGCGUUCUGGCGAUAGACCCCUACCAUAGACGUGUACAGUGGCCCAGAAUUGACGGCUCUCACCGCUCAUGGUCCCUUGGUACACAACAUACUCUGGGGGCUCUUCUAAUGCAAUGGCACGGCGGCUGAGGUUUGCUAGCACGGUCACAAAACCUCCAAGGUUGGUUGCUGUGGUCUCAUUGUGAACAAUGGGUCCAGGCAUUAUAGCUCGUUUUGGGGUAGAGGCUGUGUUGUGCUGGGUCGAGGCUAGCGUGCCCUUUUUAUAGAAAAAGGGGACAGAGUCUUCCUUCGCACGCUUGCGAAAGAGACAAUUUAGGUGUCGGUCACUGGCCCAUGAUUGACAGGCUAGGCUGAUAGGUUAGGCACUGACUGCCAAAAGGUGUCGAGGUCACUGUGUGGCUAUCUUACAUGAGAAGCUUGGCCGGGGUUAGGUUAAGGUUUGGUGGGUUGGUCAACCUAGGUUUAUUGACCUGGCUGAGAUAGGAUUAGCCAAUGGUCAGCCUGGCUCUGAUACCAAGAUUGUCAGGAUCGGGUUUUCGAGAUAUUAAUUUACCAUAAAAUGGCCCUUGUGCUCACCAGCCCUAGGAUUACGGUUAGCUAAUGAGACACCAACUUGAUACAGAAAUUCCAAGCAAAAUACAAAAUGUGUAGUACAAGACCAUUCUGUCCUAUGAGUACAACAAAUGGUUUCUAGUGGUUGAUGGCAGAAGCGGUUUGUGGUUCAUCAGCGUCUAUGGGACUCCAUUUCCCACGGGAAUAGCUAACCUGGAUAACUCCUAUCUUCGUGAGGCUGCUAUCACCAUUGCGUAGGUUCCGGGGCUGUCAUCACAACACUCCUCUCCAUGCAAGAAAUCUGGCCAAGACAAUAGCCAGGGACAAGCCAAUGAGUACUUUGAAUGUACUCGCAAACAUUAUGAACUAAUAAGCACAUUUCCUAUUCAUAAUUUGGCACACAGAUAUACCACAUAUUGUGAUCUGACCAUCAAUUAUUGUUAUGAACUAUUGCAUAUUUGAACGGAAAUCAUAUAAAGGGAUCAUUUACUUGUGACUUGUUUCUUUUGCAGAAAAGUGCGCAAAGGCACUAUAGUCAUCAAGAUUUCUACUAUGUGGCUAUCGAGAAAAGUGAAGAAAAGAAGAGAAGGAAGAAGAGACAUGUGUGAGAUGAAAAGAAGUAACCAAGGGGCUAGCUAAAGAAGUGGGAGGACCUUCUUGUGAAGAAAGAAGAGAAGGAGGAGGGCUAAUGUGUAAAGUUUGCAGAUCAGGGAGGGGAUCAAAAUCCCUAGAUCGCUUCCAUUCCCCUUCGGGCCUGGCCACAUCUCCUCUCUCGUCUCCUUCUCCACCUUCGGCCGCCGCCACAGCCAGGCCGGCGCGGGGCGCGCCACCGCUCCACUGCGCCAUCCAUCCAACCACCACUCCAUCAUCCACUCCAUCUCCACCACCCGCCGCUGCUAGCGCCGCAUCACCACCUCGAAUCAUCGCGCCAUCCAUCACCAUCUCCAACACCGCCGUCGCACACCAUCCAUCACCAUAUCCAGGGCCACCACACCAUCCUCCACUCCUCCUACUGCUACCCUCUUCUUCCUCACCUUGGUUGUUUCUCCCCUGAACUCGAACUCCUUCUCCAUCUCCAAACUGCAUGUUGCGCCUCUGCUGAAGCUUUCUCUGAACCCUCCCCCCCCACUGCUUCUCUCUUCUCCAUGCCCCCGCUGAUGUUUCUUCUUUCUCUAACCACCCGCUGCUGAAUCUCUCUCCCGCUCCUAGCGCCAGCUGCUGUUUCUCUUCCUACCCUACGUCUUAGUUCCUAAUGCUCCUCCUCCUAAUCCUCUCAUAGUGCCUCAACCUACUGCUUCUCCAAGCUCCAUUGCUGCUCCUCACUUGCGCCAGCUGCUCAUGUUCCCUACACCUCUGCUACUGGUUCUUGCUUCUCUUCUGAACCUGAAGCUCUCUCUCCCUCUUAUCUCAAACUGCUGUAAACAUUAGAAGUGUAAUGUUUAGAAUUUUGUAAUGUUCAGGGCUAUGUAAUGUUCAGACUUGACAAGUUCUAGCAACUUGUUAUUUGUUCAGUUUAGUACCUGUAUAAUAAAGUACUUGUUAUGUUGGAUCUGACUAGUUGAGGCCUUGUUAAUUUGGGAUAUAAUUGAUCUAUUAGAAUGUGCUUCUAUGUAUUACUAUUCUGCUAGCAUAUGAAUGUGUUCAUCCCUGUAUAUUUGUUCCUUAUUGCAGAAAUGUAUUCAGUCAUCCAUGUAUUAGCUCCAGUACAUGUGCUAUAUAAACAUGUGUGUGUUUGUGAUGAAAAAUCUAUCUU